rnacentral:lncRNA from 1 species
ACAGAUUGAACCAGUAACCUAGAAACCCUUUGCUUCCCAGUCAAGUAAGCAUUUGUUGAGGUCAGUUUCAUUUCGUGAGCACGUGUGUGUUCUCGCUCCCAGUGCAACUAAUUCUUCUACGAUAGCGUACUUGGUUACAAUAUUAAUUAAUUUGUGAUCAGUCAAAUAGAAGCUCCAUUUUUGCCAAUAUAAUGAUCUAAUCACUGUAAAGGGGGUUCUUGUGAUAGGGAGAGGAAGUAUUGCAAACAAGUAAAAGAAUGUGCCAGAGGCGGCAGAGAGGAAGAUUGAAGCAAUUCCUAAAGUAUUAAGUACUGUGGUAGGUGGAAGACAAUAAGAAGAGACUUAAAGAGACUUAGAGAGUACAAGAUAAUUAGAGAGAGAAUUUAGAAAGAGAAGCUCUCAAGUUGAGAAUGUGUUAGCUUGGAGGGGGAGAGAAGAGUCAUUCCAAAUGAAUUGUGAGGCUCUAUAUAUAGUGCUAAAAGUGACGAUUACAUAAGAAUAGGCUUUAAUGCGCUUAAUGAAUGACAUUAUUAUGAAGAAUAUUAAUGUAAGUAAACGUUACUGUAAUUGGAUGUAAUAAGACUUGUUCUCAAGUAAGGGUAAUAGAAAAGAGGUGUACAAGAAUAGGUACAAGAGCAGAAGCUGUACGAGAAUAGGUACAAGAGAAUAAGCUGUACAUGAAUAAGUAUACAAGAACAAGGUAAGAGGGUGAAACACUUGUACUUCAGGAAAGGGUUAAGAGGAAGACCUUUUAACUACCUCCAUAUCUGAGCCACCAAGCCAAACUCUUUGGAACAUCCCAAGAUGAAAGUAACCCAUGAACCCUGCCACUUGUUUCGAGUUGCUUUCACUGUCAUCCAAGUGAAAUGGUUAUUCUAUUCGAAGUAGUUGUUUUACUUGUAAUAAUUGUUCCAUAUGGAGUAGUGUUCUAUUUAUUCUAGUUAUUCUGCGUUAAGUAGCACUUCACUUGUUCUAGUUGUUUUGCGUGAAGUAGUGCUUCACUUGUUCUACUUAUUCUACGUGAAGUAGCACUUCACUUGUUUUACUUAUUCUGCGUGAAGUAGCACUUCACUUGUUCUGGUUGUUCUCUGUACAACAUUAUAUUGUAACCUAAUUCUUUAGAGUAACAGUAUUAACCAAAAUCUAGUAUCUACACAUAUAAGGAAAAAAAACCAUAGAAUGAAUCACUUUCAAGCAGUAAAAAACAAUUUGAAACAACUAGUAUGUAAGUUCAUCUCAAGUGAUAAUGGAUUAGAAAAUAGAGAAAUUUAUCAAUUGUACUUAGUUUUGUAUUUCUUGGUGGGUGACUUUUCUUCUUUGCUAGUGGUGGGUUGCUUUUAUGGUGUAGAUUGUGGGAAAAGUUCUCUAACUACUUGACUUUUGAUUGGUGAUGGCAAAACUUAUUCUUCUGGUUGUUUUAUUGUUGCUAUGGGUGUCUAUGAUUCUGAGUUAACAGUUGGAGGUGUUAAUGAUCUCGAGACAUUACUAGAAAUUGCAGUGCACCAUUCUUGAUGUUGCAGUUCAUCACAGUCAAACAUUUUGUAGUUGGCAAUUCCUAUUUUGAUUGCCUUGCUUGUUAACCCCACAGUAAAAAUUCUUACUUAGCUAAUCAAUGCCUUAACAGGUCUAGGUAGCGUCAUUCGGCUGAUAGCCUGCAAUGCUACAAGUUUAAUAAUUGUCACACCAACCAACUUCUCUAUUGGCCUACCAAAGGCCACCAAGUCCAUUUGUCCAGUANNNNNNNNNNNNNNNNNNNNNNNNNNNNNNNNNNNNNNNNNNNNNNNNNNNNNNNNNNNNNNNNNNNNNNNNNNNNNNNNNNNNNNNNNNNNNNNNNNNNNNNNNNNNNNNNNNNNNNNNNNNNNNNNNNNNNNNNNNNNNNNNNNNNNNNNNNNNNNNNNNNNNNNNNNNNNNNNNNNNNNNNNNNNNNNNNNNNNNNNNNNNNNNNNNNNNNNNNNNNNNNNNNNNNNNNNNNNNNNNNNNNNNNNNNNNNNNNNNNNNNNNNNNNNNNUUUUUUUUUUUUUCCAAUUGAAAGUUAACCUGAUGUAGCCUAAUGUAGCCUUAGAAAAGUGAAAAAAAGAACUAAAUAAAUGCUGAAGCAAAAAGACCAAACAAAGGCUGACUAACUUGUCAAAAAUUUUCUUUUUUUUUUAUUUGUUGGUAGCAAAAAGCUGCAAGUUGUAAUAAUCAUUUUUUUUAUUUAUAUAAAGAACACGUUUUUAACUUUGGAACAAUUUAUUGGCAACCAAAAGUCGCCAGCUGCAUAUAUAUAUAUAUAUAGAGGGGGUUUACUUUGGAGGAGUUUGUAGCGGCAAAGCUGCAAGUUGCAGUAGUUUAUAUAUAUAUAUAUAUAUAUAUAUAGAAAGGGAGUGUACUUUGGAGCAGUUUGUAGCGGCAAAAGUUGCCGACCAAAUUUUUUUUUUAUAAAGAAGAUGGCUUUACUUUGGAGCCACGAGCUCUUUUGAAUAGAGCAAUGGAGCUCGCGGUGUGCCGCAAGCUCUUUUAAUUAGAGCUCGCGGUAUGUGCCACGAGUUGCUUCCAUUAGAGCUCGCGGUACAUGCCGCGAGCUACUCUAAUUUGAACGAUUUUUUUUAAAUUUUAUAAUAAUAAUUUUUUUUUAGUUGACUCUCUUUUUUUUUGUGUUAUAAUUUAUUAUUUUAUUGUAAUGUAUAGUUUUUGAUAGAAAAAAUAUUAGAAUAAAAGAAAUGAGUAAAGGUUGAAGUGAAAGAAGCAAAUAAAAGUUAGUGCAUAUCAGCUUUUGAUAAAAAGGCAAAAACUAAAAUAAUUAAUAAAUAAAUGAACAAAAGGUAGCACAUGUCAAACCAUCGUUUCUCCUCUUAUUUAUUAGCAACACAAGCUGCGUUUCUUGUGUUUUUUUUUUUUAAUGUAUAGGACUUGGCUUUUGUAGGACUGUUUUUGGUUUUAGUGUUACUGUAGAACUUGCGGCAUAAACUCAAGUAUAGAAGAGAACUUUGGAAACAGUACUUUUGUUUUAACCUCAAGACACGCCAUAGCUUUUAUUUAUUUUUUACUUGGUUUUGGUGCUAAAGCUUGUGGCUUGUGCGGCACCUUUGUUUUGAAGCUUUCUUUUGUCCUCGCGAUUUACCGCAAGUUAUUUCUAUUGAAGCUCGCGGCAUAUACCGCGAGCUAUUUCUUUUAAAGCUCGCGGUUUAUGCCGUAAGUUAUUAUUAUUGUUUUAUUUUUUUUAUAAUUUUUAAUUAUUAUUUUAUUUUUAUUUAAAGUUAUAAUUUUUUUUAAGUUUUACUUAUUUAUUAUAUAUAUUUAUAUUGCAUAUAUAAAAAUAAUAAUAUCAAAAUCUAUAAUUUUGAUAAGUUUUAUUUGUGAUUUUUUUAUACAUAAUAAAUAAGUAAAAGUAAAAAAUUAUUGAGUAUGUAUACUUAUCUCUUUUUCCAUAAUCAUGUUUGUAGGUAACUUUUUUCAUCAUCCUCUAUGCCUAGGACGCGUGUCCUUUCGAAGAUCAAUUAUGGUGAGCUUGAAAGGGCUGCAACAAGGAAGAAAACCACUGCACAUAAAAGUAAGAAUAGUGAUUCCAAAUUAAUUGUUCCCAAAAAAAUUAUAAUAGAAAAGAGUGGUGAAGUUCCUCCUGUUUUUGAAAAUUUGAAAGAUGAAAUUAUUAAAGAAAGAGGAGAAGAUCGUUUUUAGGAAGAGGUUCAUGCUAGACAGGUUGACGAACAUCUUUAUGAGUCUGUUGGAUAUGAUUGGAAUCGUGUAUGCUCAAAAGCACCUCCUCAUAGAAGAAAUGGUAUUCCAGGACAAUCUAUUCUGAAAUUCAGGUUUGAACGUGGUGAGUUUCCCCUUUUUGCUACUAAGUUAGGCUCCAAUUCUCAAUUUCUUCAUGGUUGGGAUGAAUGGGUAACUAAGGUAUUGAAGAAUCCUUCUUAUGUUAAACUUCUCUCUUCUGUUGGGAUACUUGAUGCUAUACGUAUCACUUCUAAGCUCAAUAUUCGUAGAGAAAAAAUGAUGGAUGUGUGGCGUGCUAUUCUUGCAAGGUGGAGCACGUUUUCUUAUACUAUGAUUAUUACAUGGGGGGAAUUUACCUUCACUCUGGAAGAUGUAUGUGUUCUCUUGGAACUUCCUUGUAUAGGAAAGGAUGAUUUUCACUCUAUUAAGCUUUCUGAAGAAGAGGUAUGUACUCGAGACUUGUUCUUCGAUCUACUUAGGAGUUUGAGUAAAACUUUGAAGGUUGCAAGAUUCUCCAAUUGGAUAGGGGUUUUUUAUAAAAAGUUCAAUGCUAAGGGAAUUGAGAUUGGUUCUCUUGAGUACCCAGACCAUAAGUAUGAACUAGUAGCUUUAAUAAUUUUUUGGCUGGCACGACACGAACUCCCAAGGUGUCCAGAUGAUGGUAUCUCUUCAGUAGUUGUUCAUUUAGCAAUAAAAAUUGUUAAGGGAACACGUUUUCCUCUUGCUCCACUGUAUUUAGGAUCCCUAUAUAAGAGAUUAGACUUGUUCCAACUCAAAACUGUUGAGUUAGCUGGGCGUUACAAAGUUUUGACUUAUGUGGAUACUUCCUUCAUUCAAAUGUGCUUAUGGGAAAAGUUUGGUACUUGCACUCCCGUGCCUAAUGCAUAUCCUUUUGCAUCUUUUACUGUGAAUAACCCUUUAUCCAGGAACAACUACAGAGCUUGGGCAUGGCAUGAUCGACUCUCGAGAGGUAAUGUUCUUGAAGUAAUGCAUGUGACAACAGAAUUCAAUCCCAAACCUUAUGUGCGGCCCAUAAAUGGAUUUGGUGAUCCUAGAAUUUAUUAUGAUCGCCACCUUCUACAGUCUGGAAGAAUGAGUUCACAAUGUAUUAACUUUUGUGUAUGGGUUCACAGUUCCCAAUUGCCAUCUAUGAUUGAGAGUUCCAGUUUAGGUGGAGAUAGAAAUAUUCUUUCUGUUGAGGUAUAUUCUCUUUUUAGAGUAGCACGUCAAUUUGGGUUUGAUCAACCAGCUUUGCCUGACUCUUCUUCAACUAUCAGUUUUUCUUCAUGCGUUUCUUCAUUCCUCAUGGCAGGACUUCAACUUCGUUUAGAUAAACUUAAGAGUUAUACUGUCACAGCUUUUGAUAGAGUUGGUACUCACACUUCUGGAUGGUUUGCUUAUUGGAUGAAUUGUGUUGAAGAAUGAAGAUAUUUUAUUAUGCCUUUGACUAAUUCCAGAGCUUGUCUCUACACUCCUCCUAUAAGUAACUUUGAUGUAUCCUUACGUUUGAUUUCUCUCAAAAAGAAAAGAAAUGUAAAUGAAGAAGAAAAUGAUGCUCCUCGCACUCUUACUCAUCAAACAAAACAUGUGCAUCGAAAAGUAAGUUCAUCAUUUACUUCUUCUUCUACUUCUUUUUUUUUUUAAAUUCAUUUCCUCAUCAUACUUUUUUUUUUGUAGAGAGAAACAACUACGAGAGUAGAACUUAACUCGAUUGAAGAGGAAGAGACUUUUGAAGCUGAGACUGAGGAAGAAUCAUGUGACUCUGAACGUAGUGAUGAAUCUGAUGAUGAAUUAGUUGAUGUUGAUAAAGCUGAAGUUGAGGGUGAGCCAACCCCUUUUGAUGAUUUCAUUGAUUUUGAUGUUUUAUUUCCAAAUCAUGUUUAGAGCUCUACCAUGAACUAGGUAUAAACAUAUUACUAUGUUAUUCUGAUUGAUGUUGUUCCCUUCCAUUUUUUUUUAAUUAAGAUUGUUCUUACUCCGCAGGCUAUUCGAGAUGAGGUUGUUCCGACACUGAGAUUAUUCCUGUUGUUGAAGUUGUUGCUGAAGCUACUCCAAAUGUUGAGGUUAUUCAUGAUGUUGGAGUUGAUACUGACGAUGUUAGAGCUAUUCCAAUGACUCUUCAUGUUUCUUCCUCCCUAGUCCCAGAACAUAAAGAUGCAAGUAGUGCUUUUGGCAUUCAAGUAACACAUACUGAAGAAAGUGGUAAGAAUGUUGACUUCCAUGGUUUUCAAGUUUCAUUGGAGUAUGUGGCAUACUUGGAGCAUGUUUUCAAUAUAAAGGAAAAGUUUUGGAGUACCUCAUUUGUAAAGAACGUAGACGUCAUUUGCUUAAUGAUGGAAAUGUUGGGUAGAGCUUUAACCAUUUCCCAUGCUCCACUAAUGAGUACUUCACCAGAGGAAUUGCAACAGAUGUUACAGGAUUUCGAUGAUGCUUGUAACUUUAGAUUCAAGCUUGAGUGUCUCAGUGAUUGUAGAUCUAAAGCCAAGAUUUUUCUCAACAAGUCUUCUUUGGAGAAUGAGUUAGAAGACACUGCAGCGAAGAUAGCUUUACUGAAAAAACGUGAAGUUGAAGUACAAGAAUAAUUAAAUGUAUUUGCCAAUAAUAACUCUUCUCUAUGGAGUAUGUAAUUGACUAGUCUUUUGCUUUUCCUUUACUCUUUUUGAAAGCUCAUUUGAGCUAGUACUUCACUAUUGAUAUAUCAUAUUUCUUUUCUUUUGCAAUAAUAAUAAUGUUAUACGCUUAUUGCAUAUUUAUUCACAUUUCUUAUAUUGCAUAUGGCCAAAAGGGAACUCUCAACUUUAUAUCAAGGAGAUUAACUCUAACUUGAUAUGAAGGAGAUUAAUUCAACCCUUAAAAUAAGUAAGCGUAAGAGCUGCGGCCAAUUUGUGAGUAAUAAGCUAGGGCCAAGAAAUGAGUGAUAAAGCUAGCGGCCAAUAGCAUAACAUCAUUACAGCCAAAUUAUGAGCGAUAAAGCUAGCGGCUGGAAUGUGAAUAAUAAAUUAUGGUCAAAGAAUAAGUGAUGAAGCUUGUGACCAAAAGAAGAAUAUCAUUACAGCCAAAAUAUGAGCGGUAAAGCUUGCGGCUGAAGUAAGAAUGAUGAACUAUGGUCAAAGAAUAAGCGAUAAAACUUGCGACUAAUAGUAUAAUAUAAUUACAACCAAAAUAUAAGCGAUAAAGCUAGCGACUGAAUAUGAAAUUUUUUUUAAUGUCAAAUUGCAAUUCAUAAAACGAUGAAGAGUUAAAGUCAUAGAAAUAUCAUACAUGAGCAGGAAGCGGGUUGUUCUGGACCCUGUUGUUCUCAAUCAACAACUCUUUUACUUGCAUUUUCUUAUGGAAUAUUCCCUUUUGAAAAUGAUCUUUUCUUUCUCUACCUCUUCCUUAAAUUGCAUUCACUAUUGGAGUAUUCUUUCUAUCGAAGCGAGUAACUCCUUUUUGUUUGAGAACCGUAUUAUUGGUUCUUUGUGCCAUUUCCAUUAAGGUAGCAAAAGUUGAAAAAGGUAAAUUCUGCUAGUGUAGUCUACACUCGUCAAACAUUUUUUUUUUGAAUGCAAACCGUCACUAACUCCUUUUUAUCAUAAGACUCUUGUAUAUCCAUCACCCUUUCUCUAAAGUGUUAGAUGUAUUCCAUAAGGUCUUCUUUAGACUUUUGAUAUUCUGUUCCCAAAUCAAGGAGAUUAACCUUAUCUUGAGUAGAGAAGAAGAACUCUUCCCUAAACAUCCACAUCAAUUAUAGUUUCUCCAUUUCCUUCAUUCCCCUUAGUGUUUGUAAUUAGAGGAAUGACUUCAUGAAGUGCACUCUCAUUAAAGUAUACAGAUUGAGCUUGAAAAAUGGUGAAAGUGAAGGAUACAAGUUGAGAUAUGGUCUCCAACAUCCGCUUAUUGUUGUCUUCUAACAUUUGCAUUCUCUCUUAAGAAGCCUCAAUCAUUUUCAUUAGCUUUUGGAUGUAGGUGGAAAUAGAUGCAUUUUGGUUACCAGAGAAACUGUCCAUCUCUUCCAAUAACAUAAAGUUUUUCUAGUAAGCUUUUACUUAAUGCAAUCACUCCUCCCUAAUGGAGUCACCAAAAUGUAAAUGGGGUUCUUGUGAUAGGGAGAGGAAGCGUUGCAAACAAGUAAAAGAAUGUGCCAGAGGGGGUAGAGAGCAAAAUUGAAGCAGUUCCUAAAGUAUUAAGUACUGUGGUAGGUGAAAGACAAUAAGAAGAGACUUAAAGAGUAUAAGAUAAUUAUAGAGAGAAUUUAGAGAGAGAAGCUCUCAAGUUGAGAAUGUGUUAGCUUGGAGGGGGAGAGAAGAGUCAUUCCAAAUGAAUUGUGAGGCUCUAUAUAUAAUGCUAAAAGUGAUGGUUACAUAAGAAUAUGCUUUAAUGCGCUUAAUGAAUGACAUUAUUAUGAAGAAUAUUAAUGUAAGUAACCGUUACUGUAAUUGGAUGUAAUAAGACUUGUUCUCAAGUAAGGGUAAUAGAAAAUAGGUGUACAAGAAUAGGUACAAGAGAAGAAGCUGUACGAGAAUAGGUACAAGAGAAUAAGCUGUACAUGAAUAAGUAUACAAGAAUAAGGUAAGAGGGUGAAACAGUUGUACUUCAGGAAAGGGUUAAGAGGAAGACCUCUUAACUAUCUCCAUAUCUGAGCCACCAAGCCAAACUCUUUGGAACAUCCCAAGAUGAAAGUAACCCAUAAACCCUGUCAUUUGUUUUGAGUUGCUUUCACUGUCAUCCAAAUGAAGUGGUUAUUUUAUUCGAAGUAGUUGUUCUACUUGUAUUAAUUGUUCCAUAUGGAGUAGUGUUCUAUUUAUUCUAGUUAUUUUACGUUAAGUAGCACUUCACUUGUUCUAGUUGUUCUGCGUGAAGUAGUGCUUCACUUGUUCUACUUAUUCUACGUGAAGUAGCACUUCACUUGUUUUACUUAUUCUGCGUGAAGUAGCACUUCACUUGUUCUAGUUGUUCUCUGUACAACAUUAUAUUGUAACGUAAUUCUUUAAAGUAACAGUAUUAACCAAAAUCUAGUAUCUACAAUCACCAAAUGCAGAUCAUCUCAUAAACGUUCCUAGUUAAAAAGUCACAUCUAAUUAACAUGUAUAAACAAUGAAGCAAAGUUCUUUAUAUUUUGUUUGCGUUUUUCCUCCAUAACUUGUCUCAAGAUUUUAAAAACUUGCGCAAUCCAUAGGAUGCUUUGUUAUAUUCAUGAAUGUGUCGUUCUGUGCAUACGUAAAAAGUUUUGUCAUUGAAAACAAAUAUAUAUUCAAAAGGAAGAAAAUGUCAAUGGCUUAACAUAUAUGAAGAGUCUCCCAAUUUCGAGUAUAUUAUAUAACAUUGAAAGGUAAAGCAGCAAGAAACGAGGUGUAGCAUCAAACUUGUAAAGAGCAUAUGGUAAAAAAGAAAGAGAGAGAGAAGAGAGAAAAAUUAAGAACCUCGAUUCCUUUGCUUCCACCAGUAACAAGUGCAGUCAUGCCUUGAAGACUCCAUCUGUUGUCCUUCCUAGAGCUAUCUGCUUGAGCCAUUCUUACUUCUCUCUCUGACGGCUUGUAGUUGAGAUAUGUUAAUUCCCACAAAGGCUAUUGCUGACAAAAGAUUCAAUAGGAAAUUAAAGGGGGGGGGGGGGGAAAGACAACAUUUGAGAAGUCGUUUUCGAACAACUGUCACAAUUAAUGCAUGGCAAAAUAUUUAUUCUCGAGCCAAUUCUAGAUGAAUUCUUUCUCAAUCCUAGAUGACAACAAGGGUUUAUUGUCAACAAAGAAAAUUUUAUUUUAGGCAUAUUUUUUUAAUUUUAAUAUUUAAUAAAAUCAUAUUUUUAUUGAGUAAAAUACACCUAUCAUAUGUGAUUUUUUAUAUACAAAAAGAAUAUAAUUUAAAGUAAAGCAAAUCCACAAUCCAUAAAAAUAUAUAAAGAGAGAUGCGUAGAAAGAUAGAAGGCAAAGAGAGGAGAAGAAAAAAGGGUUUUCAAUAAGGACUGAUGACGUGAAAGGCGGCGAGAGGAGAGAAGGUAGAUGUUCUUUCUUUAUGUGAUCAUCAAUUUUUAGAAAAAGACACUUUUGAUGUUCAAGAAACUUUACAUCUUGCUAUCAAAAAGGAGAAUUUAUAAAACUCUUUUGAAUUCACAAUUUUUAAAAAAUAUUCUAAAAUUAUUUUUUUCAAUAAUUAUUUAAAUUAAAAAAUAACAAAACAUAUCAUCUCAACAUCUUUCGAAGUCCACGUGAUAUAAAUCUCAACUCAAAAAAAAUCAAACAAGUAUAUCAUUUUUUUUUUCACAUGAAGAGGCUUGUAUCUUUACAUUACAUCGACUAAUUAAGAAGGCACAAUAGGUCCCGAUUUGUAUACAUAUUUUUUUACAAUUUUAACAAUUAUAACACAACAGACAUUAUGAGGCAAGAGUUAUAGAGCAAGUUAUAUUUAAAAUUUGUAGUCUAUUCACUGGGAUAUAAUUCAUAGCCUUUCAGAAGAUGGAAAGAGUGAAUCAAAUUCCAAUCUCUCUUUUUUGUUAACUUAGAUAUUAAAAUUUCUAUAAAUUAAUAUCGAUAAAUUAAUAAACUCGAAUAAAUAAUGUUUUUGAUCAAUUUCGACUUAGGAUCAAUGUGGUAAAUUGAUAAUUCACUAAAUUUAUAAAAUAAUACAUUUUAAAAAAACACAAACACAUAAGUUUCACUUGAAAUAUAAAUUAAUAAUCUCCUAAUAUAUCAAAAUUAUAUAUAUAUAUAUAUAUAUAUAUUAUAAUAUAUAAAACUUAAUUAAGAAGCCUUUGUAAAAUAUGACCCCAAUGCUAUUUGUUUUUCUUGAAAUUGAUGUCUCUUUGGAUCUCAUUUAUAACUUUUCUUUAUAUUAAACAAACCACUCAUAGAGUAACUUCUCUAGUUUCAGGAAUUUUGCAAUUUUGUAUUGUUUGGCAUCACCUUUUUCAAUGUUGGUUGAUAAAUAGACCUCUUAAUCAUAUUUGAUAUUGUUACUUGACUUAUUUGCAAGUUAAACUUUUUUGACACUCACUAUUGUAAUUGCUUUUAGGUGCAAUUUGGAUUUUCUAUGUUGUACUCACAAAAUACUUUACGCAUUUCUUUUGUCAUUGUUGAUUUCUUUAUACUUUUAAGAUGAGAAGCCAUUGUGUUUAAUUUUAUCAUUUGUGAUAUUGUAUAUUCUUUUUAUAAAUGUUUUUGUAUGACUUAAUGUUCAUGAAGUGUAUUAAUUAAGUUUACAUCAAAUGUGAGUUUAGGUUGUUGCAAAAAUGGAUAGAUUCAUGACUUUUAUUUAAUACAACUAAUUACACUCAUAACUUGUUUUGGAAAGAAAUACAUAGAACAAUGAUAUAUCGUAAUUCAGUAAUUAUGUAAUAUUCAUAUAAUCACAAUAUACAAUACAUGUGUUAAGUUCUAUAUUUUAAAAAAAUAAAAAAUACUUUGAUAAAUUAGUUUUUUAUUAAUUAAUGAUAAAUUAAUAAAUUAUUAAUUUAUCGAUUAAAUGAUAUCUUAAUUAAUUAAUAAAUUUUUUUGAUCCUAAAGAUAUUAAUUUGUAGAUGUUUUAGUGUAUGUUCUAAUUCCACAAUAUUGCAUUGGCUAAAAAAUUGUGGAUUUUCGUGAGCCUACCCUUUCUAAAACAUUACUUCUUUUCUAUUAACUAAUUUUCACUUAAUGUCUUAUUUCUCUUUGGAUUUAUUUAUGCAAUGUACUAAUAAGCCAUUUAAUUAUUCAAUAUUAAUUUAUAUCAUGACAUUAUCAACUACAGAUGGCAACAACGCAUAUAGACACACACACAUAUUUUGUAGAAGAGUAAUUAUAGCCAAAAUGAAAGAAGCUGUGGCUUUUGUUUCAUUAUGGUAGACAACAGAAAGAAAAUCUAAAUUCAAGCAAGUGCAGCAGCUCAUAAUUUUUUUUAUUGACCAGCUGCAUACUUGGACUAGCAGAUUAAGCGAAAAAAGAAAGAGAAAGACAAGCAACAACUAGGAAGCAGUAGCUACUGUGCCAAAGCCAAAUGCAUCAUUUCGUUUUUGGGGCAUUAAUAAAAACAACUCUUAUAGAGAAGAUGUUUUCAAAAAUAGUCCUCUUUAUAAUUUUAACUAUUUUUAAUCAAGUUGAACAAAACUACCUUUAAUGAAGAUAUAAAAUUACAAGCCAUGAUGUUACAUACCAUGUACAAAAAUAUGUUACACGCCAUGUACAAUAACAUGUGACACGCCAUGUAUAAAAACAUGUGACACGUCAUAGUUAGGUUGUUACAUGCCAUGCACAAAAACAUGUGACACACCAUGGUUAGGUUGUUACACACUAUGUACAAAAACAUGUUACACGUUAUGUACAAAAACAUGUGACAUGUCAUGGUUAGGUUGUUACACGCUAUGUACAAAAACAUAUGACACGCUAUGGUUAGGUUGUUACACGUCAUGUACAAAAACAUGUGACACAUCAUGGUAGGUUGUUACACGCCAUGGUUAAGUUGUUACACGUUAUGUACAAAAACAUGUUACACGCCAUGUACAGAUACAUGUAACACAUCAUAGUUAAGUUGCUACAUGCUAUGGUUAUGUUGUUACACGCCAUGUACAAAAACAUAUAACACGCCAUGGUUAGGUUGUUACAUGUCAUAUACAAAAAUAUGUUACAUGUCAUGUACAAAAACAUGUGACACGUUAUGUUUAGGUUGUUACACAUUAUAGUUAGGUUACUACACGUCAUGUACAAAAACAUGUGACAUGCCAUGGUUAGGUUGUUACAUGUCAUGUACAAAAACAUGUGACACACCAUGGUUAGGUUGUUACACACCAUAUUGAAGAAAAAAUAUUAUUGUUACACGCCAUGUUGAAAAAAUAUUGUUGUUAUACGUCAUAUUCAAAUACAUUUUGUGACACUUUAAUGCCUAAAAUGUUGUUGUUACUUACGAACCAAAAUUUCAAAUCUUCUCAACUCUCUUCAUUUUUUUUUUUGACAAUUUGGCAUCGAUUAAAGUAUUUUUAAUAUGUUUUCAUAAAUCAAAACACAAAUUUUCUUAUCUAAAACACCUAUUUCGACUAAAAAUCGAAAAAAAAUUUCUUUGAAAACAUAAGUUUAUAAAUUUCAAAAUUUUGAGUUUAUCGAUGUCUAGGUUCCGAAUUGAUACAAUUAAAAGCUAUUUCAAACAUCUGUGAUUAUUUCUACCAUUUUAGUUUAAUCCAAAAUACCUAAAAAUCAAAAUUUUCAAAUAGUCACCCACCCAAGCACAUCAAAACCAUCGCUUGGUGUCUUGAAAGCGCAGGAAAGAAAAAUCUAAAAACGUGAGAGAAAGAAAUCGGGAGCAUAACAGAUGAAUGCCGAAGAGAGAAAUCGAUAAAAAUAGAGAGAGUGGGAUGGCGAUGAGAGAAAUCGGAAGCAUAAAUGGGGAGAAAUUGUGAUGAAUGAUUUAAUUUAUUUGAAAUAGAUUCAAGGGUAUUUUUGUCAAGUUAUGGCUAAAUAUGGUUAAAAACAGUUAAAUUUAUUUUGAUGGUUAUUUUUGAAAUGUAAGUUAUUGUUCAUAAUUUCCUCUUCUUAUUUUUUCUUGUUUGUUUCUUGGGGAAAGCCUUAUGUGCUCUUUCAAGAUAGGGAAUUAACCUAGCUGUUCUUCCCGAGCAAGGUCUCAGGGUAGAAGAAGGCAUUUACUGACAUGCCCCCAUCGAUGCAAAAAGUCUACCCUGUUAUAUAAAAGGAUGUUGGUAGACACAAGAAUCCCACCAAGGAUGACACUUCCUCUGGCUGUCCAAUGCGUCCCAUUGGAUAGAUUCAUGACUUUUAUUUAAUAAAACUAAUUACACUCAUAACUUGUUUUGGAAAGAAAUACAUAGAAUAAUGAUGUAUCGUAAUUUAGUAAUUAUGUAAUAUUCAUAUAAUCACAAAAUAUAAUACAUGUAUUAAGUUUUAUAUUUUAAAAAAAUUAAAAAAUACUUUAAUAAAUUAUUUUUUAUUAAUUAAUCAUAAAUUAAUAAAUUAUUAAUUUAUCGAUUGAAUGACAUUUUAAUUAAUUAAUAAAUUUUUAUGAUCCUAAAGAUAUUAAUUUAUAGACGUUUUAGUGUAUGUUCUAAUUCCACAAUAUGCCAUUGGCUAAAAAAUUAUGGAUUUUUGUGAGCCUACCCUUUCUAAAACAUUACUUCUCUUCUAUUAACUAAUUUUCACUUAAUGUCUUCUCUCUUUGGAUUUAUUUAUGCAAUGUACUAAUAGGCCUUUUAAUUAUUGAAUAUUAAUUUAUAUCAUGACAUUAUCAAUUACAGAUGGCAACAAUACAUACACACAUAUAUAUAUAUAUUGUAGAAGAGUAAUUAUAGCCAAAAUAAAAGAAGCAACAGCUUUUGUUUCAUUAUGGUAGACAACAGAAAGAAAAUCCAAAUUCAAACAAGUGCAACAGUUCAGAAUUUUUUUUUAUUGACCAGCUGCAUACUCGAACUGGCAGAUUAAGAGGAAAAAGAAAGACAAAGAGAAGCAACAACUAGGAAGCAGUAGCUGCGGUGCCAAAGCCAAAUGCAUCAUUUCUUAUUUUUCUUGUUUUGUUUCUUGGGCAAAGCCUUAUGCACCAUUUCAAGAUAGGGAAUUAGCUUGGCUGCUCAUCCCGAGCAGGGUCUCAUGGUAGAAGAAGGCAUUCACUGACAUGCCCCCAUCGAUGCAAAAAGUCUGCCCUGUUAUAUAAGAGGAUGCUGGUAGACACAGGAAUCCCACCAAGGAUGACACUUCCUCUGGCUCUCCAAUGCGUCCCAUUGGAGUUCGAGAGAUGAUAUUCUCUGAAAACUUUUGAAUGUACUGCAAGCAAGGAGGACAACAAGUAUAGAUACUGCUAAUUAACAACACUUAAAACGUAAUACAGUUUGAGGAACAAAAACUUGCAUGCUGUAGUGUAGCCUUUCCAGCAUUUAUGAGUUCUUGCCAUAUACUUUUUAAUAAUAUGAAAAUCCUAGCAACCAAUAUACUUAUUUGUUGUGAUUUACUUCAUAAUUCUCCUUGGAUAUCCUUUUUGAUUACUCUGAAUGAUAUGAUCAUGCUGAUAAACUUAAAGACUACAAGCAUGGGAGGAAAAAUAUAUAUAUUUUACAUCUUCAGUAAGGGGAGUUCGGAUGAACCAAGGUGCAACAGAGUUGACCCUUAUGUUGUCCUUUGCCCACUCACAUGCCAAGUAUUUUGCAAGGUGGUUCAUGGCUCCUGCAAAUAAUGGAAUGGCAACCUAAAUUCUCAAUCUUGAACGAUUACUCAACUAUAUGCUUGCAAUAAAGGUUUCAUUUGCCAGGAAAAUUAUAUAUAUAUACACGCACAUACCUUUUGUUGCUCCAUAUAAAGAUCCAAAACUUACUGAUACCACACCAGCAAUCGAAGAGAGAAAAACAAUGCUUCCUGCCCCUGAAGCUUUCAAAAGAGGAUAGGCAAGUUGACAAGUUGUAAGCAGACUCAAAAUUGGUCCCCAUCAUAAAUGAGAAAUCUUCAGUGGUGAUGUCUGGAGUCGGCUUUAAAAUAGCUGUCCCCACAUUGUUAAUCUAUAGCCACACCAAUUUGGCAUUUAUAUUGAUAUUUGAGGAUACUAGUUUGGCAUUGUUGCAAUCACAAAUGUCGUCUCAUUAGCAAAACUCAGGAGUCGAGACACUAUGCAGAAUGAGAGUUUGAUGAACUUCCAAAAAAUAAAGUGAAAAAAAAAAAGGGGGGGGGGGGAAGGAAGGAGAGUAAAGAGAAUGCUUAAGAGCAGCAAAGUGAAGAAAAAAUAGAACAACUUCUUCAUUCAUAUCAGUUUGCUACUUAAAGCUUAAGUACAGGGAAUAAAAAGAGAACCAUAAGACAUGAAAUUAGAAACUGAAAACUACCCACUAAGUAAACUCAAUAGAUAACUGAUCCAUAAUUCUAAGUGGUAGACUAACAUGUGCCAAGUAGGAUAACCAACAGUAACUGACUGCAACAUAAAAAAUAAGACUAAACUUAAAUGAGUCUUAUGCACCAGCAUGUAGUAUCUGCUGGUUGCUCAGAUAAACACUAGCAAUGGUUAAAGAGAUGCAUUCCAACUUCAACAGAGUUACCAGAAAAAGAAAAGAAUCAGAAUGGAUGUUUACUUACCAGGAUGUUGAGUUUUCCUCCAAAUUCAGAGGAGACUGUUUAUUAGCUUCUCUCUUUGGGCCUGCGAUGAUACAUCACAGACUGAACCAGUAACCUGGAAACCCUUCGCUGCCCAGUCAAGUAAGCAUUUGUUGAGGUCCGUUUCAGUCCGGGAGCAUGUGUGUAUUCUUGCUCUCAGUCCAGCUAAUUCCUCUAUGAUAGCAUGCCUGGUUGCAGUAUUAAUUUGUGAUGAGUAAAAUAUUAGCUCCGUCUUGGCAUAAUCCAAGGAAAAGUAAAUUAAUGUCUUCACAUCAGCAUGUUAAUUGUAAUAUAAGCCUUUAACAAUUUCCCCUAGAAUCCAAUAAAUGAAAUCAAAAUCGUCUUGGUGAACCGACCAUCACAGUCACUUUUAGCAACACAAAAAUCUAAUUCCUGUUUUUCCUUGAUUUACAAAAUCUUUUAUCGAAUAUAAUGAUCUAAUCACCAAAACAGAUCACUUCAUCACUUCAUACCAAGCGCCCCUAGUUAAAAAGUCGCAUCUAAUUAAAAUGUAUAAACAACAAAGCACAAGUUUUUAUUUAUUGUUUUUGUUUUUGUUCCAGAACCUGUCUCAGGAUUUUAUUAACUUACUCAAUCCACAUAAUGCUUUAUCGCAUUCAGAACUGUAUAGUUCUGGGUAUACAUAAAAGGUUUUGUCAUUGUCAAUAAACAUAUAACUAAUUCUUAAGUUGUUGUACCUAAGUGAAUAGUCAAUGAGGGAAGUAAAGGAGAAGACAAUGUCAAUGGCCUGAUAUAUAUGAACCGUCCCCCAAUUUCGAGUAUAUUAUAUAUUGAAAGGUAAAGCAGCAAGAAACGAGGUGUAGUAUCAAAUUAACAAAAGCAGAAGGUAAAAAGAAAGAGAGGGAGAAGAGAGAAAGAGAACCCGAUUCCUUUGGUUCCACCAGUAACAAGUGCAGUCAUGCCUUGAAGACUCCAUCUGUUGUCCUUCCUAGAGUUAUCUGAUUGAGCCAUUCUUACUUCCAUCUGUUGUCCUUCCUAGAGUUAUCUGCUUAAGCCAUUCUUACUUCUCUCUCUCUCGGCUUGUAGUUGAGAUAUAUUAAGUAUAUAUAGACAGUUUCUUCCCACGUAGGUCAUUGCUGACAAAAGAUUCAAUAGGAAAUUAAAUGGGGAAAGGACAGCAGUUGAGUAGUUGUUUCCAUAAUGUGGUCACAAUGAGUGGCAAUUUUAAACAAAUAAUAUAUUAAUGAAAAAUUGGAUAGAUUCUAAUAGUACUUGCUAUUUUAAUUCAAAAAACGUGUUUAGUAAGUUAAAAGAAGAUUUACGAGCUUGCCCUGUGAAAUGAGUGUGGAAUCAUUUUUCAAGGUACCAUUCAGAUUUGGUUGCUCGUUUCAACAAAGCCCAAAAUAUGCAAAUACGGUUUAUAGAGGAUCAAAGUUACAUACAUGCUGGGUUUCUUUGUUUAGGCAUAAAAACAAAGUUCAGGCAUAUGAAUGGGCUUGAACUAGCCUUCUCAGGCUCUGGCCUUGGCCGACCCAUGACACGUCUAGUUGAAAGGAGUCUUAUUGUAAGAGUCUUAUACAUGGCAAAUUGCGAAGUGGGGUGGGUGGUGUUCAAUUUCUUUUCAAGCUAUGUUUGAUGGGAAGAAGAGGCCGUUCAGUGUGAUCCCUCCAUCAACGUAAAUAAUCUGCCCUGUUAUAUAAGAAGCUGCAGGCAGGCAGAGAAAUGCCACCAAUGACGAGACUUCCUUUGGCUCUCCGGCGCGUCCCAUCGGAAUCUUAGUGAUGAAAGCCUCAAGUGCUUUUUCAUCAUGAAAAACCUACAAAGGAGAACGGAAAACAAUCGUAAUCAGCUCUUUCAAAAUUGGAGAAUGUGGAGUAAAGUAUGCUUUGACGAAGCUUUCCCAGUUUUCUAGCAAGGACAAUGUAGCAUUUGGUCUGCUAAUGUUAGGUUGGCCUGUUGCCUCUUCUGCUAAAUAGCAUUUUUCUAAGUUCUUGUCAUGGUGCUAAAGUGAUCCCACAUGUUCAUCUUUUCUCCAACAAAAUCACUUUUAUUUUUAUAUUGGACGAUAUUCGUGCUGGCUAAGUCCUAUUAUGAUCAUGCUGAAUGAUGAUAAGCCUAGGGAAAGCUAUUUACAGGUUCAGCAAGGGGAGUUCUGAUCAGUGAAGGUGCAACAGCGUUGACCCUAAUAUUAUCUCCCGCCCACUCACAUGCAAGGUGUUUUGCAAGCUGGUUCAUGGCCCCUGAAACAGAUACAUGAUAUUCAGGGAAAUGGCAAAAAAUUUAAGGUCAAACCUUCAAUUUCGAAAUGAAUUUGUGCAUAUAUACUUGCAGUAGAGGUAGUAUAUCAGGCAAGAGAGUUACCUUUGGUUGCUCCAUAUGUAGGCAAAGUUCUUACUGGUGUUAGGCCAGCAAUUGAAGAGAGAAGCACAAUGCUUCCUGCCCCUGAAGCUUUCAGAAGAGGAUGUGCAAGUAGGCUCAAGUUAUGAGCUGAUUCAAAAUUGGUACCCAUGAGAAAUGAAACUUCUUCAGCCGUUUCCUCUGAAAUCGGCUUUGCAACAAUGGUUCCCACAUUGUUUAUCUGCAGUCGCACCAAACAUCAGAACCACGAAUUUCACAAAAACUCAAGAAAUUAUGACACCCAGUAAUUUUGGAAGGAAGUAGGAAAGCAGAUGAUGAUAAUCACCAGGAUGUCAAGUUUCCCGUUGAAUACAGAGGAGGCAGUGUUAAUUAGCUUUUCCCCUUGGGCCUUAGACGAAACAUCACAGGCUGAACCAGUAACUUGGAAGCCCUUUGCUUGCCAUUCAAGUAAGCACUUGUUGAGCUCGGUUUCGGUUCGGGAGCAUGUAUGAAUUCUUGCUCCUAGUCCCGCUAGUUCCUCUACGAUAGCAUGCCUGAUUGCAGUACUUGGUGUCAGUCAAACAGCAGGUAAAGGAGCAAAACAGUCCCCAAUAUCAAGAAUAAAGCAGCAACAAAGGGCUGUGGUCUUUGAAUAUAUAAAAAAUGUUAUAUAUUUUCAUGUAAAAAAGUCCAAGAAUCAAAAGAGAGAGAGAGGGGGAAGAGAGAAAAAGAACCCGAUUCCUUUGGUUCCACCAGUAACAAGGGCAGUCAUGCCAUGCAGACUCCAUCUGUUAUCCUUGCUAGAGCUAUCUGCUUCAGCCAUUCUUACUUCUCUGUCUGCCUCUUCCUUUGUCUGCUUGCAGUUGAGAUAUAUUAUGUGUGGCACAUAGUUGCCUUCCCACAUUCGCCAUUGGUACAAAAGAUUCCAUAGGAAAUUAAAUGGGAGAAAAGGACAGCAGUUAAGUAGUUUUGGUUCCACACGGCAGUCACAAUGUAUGGACAAGGGCUAUAGUCAAUAAAGAAUAAGAUACCGUUGUCCAUAUCCCAUUGUGCUUGGUAAUACCAAUAGCCAUUAGACCUUGCUUUUAAUUAGCUCUCCUUCAUAAUUAUUUAGGUGCAUAAGGCAUUACUAAUUACUCAACAAUUAGGGAGGUAGUUGAUUUUCUUUUUCAUCCAUGUUUAAGGAGUAAUAACAGAAUAAUUAACCAACCAUUGGUCAAGUUUUUAUUGUUUAGAUAAAUGUUUGACAAAAAUCAUAUGAAAAAUUAUCACCUAGGAAAGUGGUUGCUCCAAUCACUGAAUUUAUUAUUAUACUACCUGUAGGGAUGAGCAAACCAAACUAGAUUAAUUAUCCACUCAAAUCAAAUACAAUUUUGAUAAAAUGGUUUGGUCUAAUUGGUUCAUUAAAUUAAUUGGUUCAAAAUGUUUGGUCCAAUUGAUUUUUUUGGUUGGUUUUUGGUUUUAAAAUUUUUGAACCAAUCCACUCAAAAAAUACGCUAAUUAUAUAUAUAUAUAUUAAUAUAUAAAAUAUAUUUUUAUAUAUAUAUAUANAAAGUGGUUGCUCCAAUCACUGAAUUUAUUAUUAUACUACCUGUAGGGAUGAGCAAACCAAACUAGAUUAAUUAUCCACUCAAAUCAAAUACAAUUUUGAUAAAAUGGUUUGGUCUAAUUAUAUCAUUGGAUCAAUUGAUCUAAAAUGUUUAGUCUAAUUAGUUUUUUGGUCAGUUCUUGGAUUUAAAAUUUUUGAACCAAUCCACUCAAAAAAUACGCUAAUUAUAUAUAUAUAUAUUAAUAUAUAAAAUAUAUUUUUAUAUAUAUUAAGAAAAUGGAUAAUAAACUUAAUUAAUAAUGUCACGAUCCAAAUCGGGGAGCUGUCAUUGAUGCACGAGCCCAGCAGGCAAAACCCACGAGAUCUUAGCAAGUGUACAAAAUUUUGGAUCAAAUUAGAACAUAUAACACAUAGCCAAGGGUUUUCCACAAUUGUAUAUUCAUAAUAUAAUUUAAAUUCAAAUACAUGUCAAUUACCCCUUGGUGUCAUGGGCCAAAAUUUAAGCUCAACCUCGUGUGACCUUGAAUUCUGAAAAUAAAACUUAAGUAAGCCUAUAAAUCAUGAACCCAUAUUCUCAACCCAAAAGACAUGCCUAAUAGGUGGUGGAAGAUCCAUGUUUAUAUAUCCAAGACCCACUUCAUCUCUUAUUGAUGUGAGAUCCAUGACAUUUUACCCCACCUAAUUAUGUAAUACUUUUGUUGCACUGGCUCUUUACUUGUAGAGGAGAGGGACUCUUACUCUAAUUCAGGUCUACCUUGACCCUUAUAUCUCUCAUGGGGGCCCACAUUAGUGAAUAUCUGAGUUUGCUUUGAUACCACUUGUCACAAGCCGGAACUUAAGCCCACCCUCUUUACCCGUAGAGGAGAGAGACUCUUACGCUAGUUCGGGUCUACCUUGAUCUUUGUAUCUCUCAUGGGGGCUUACAUUAGUGAAUAUCUGAGUUUGCUUUGACACCACUUGUCAUAAGCCGAAACUUAAGCCCAACCCCAUAUGGUCUUAAACUUUAAAAAUAGAGCUUAAGUAAGCCUAUAAAUCAUAGAUCCAUGUUUCUAAUCCAAAAGACAUGCUUGAUAGGUGAUGAAAGACCCAUGUUUAUAUACUCAAGACUCACCUCAUCUCUUACUGAUGUGAGAUCCGCGACAUUGGCACAUAGUUCAUGCUGUUUCUGAACCUACACAAGCCAUACAUUGGCUAACAAGGUGGUUGGUCUCAUACAACUCUUAAUACAAUAAUAACAUAAAUUGACAUGAUGCCAAUACAUGCUGAAAGCUAAUUCUGAAGUGGAAAACCCAUAGUCAAACAUAGCAGGGUUGAUAUAUCAAAAUGGAGACUUACCAAAUGCCAAAAUUGGUUUGUUAAAUGAUGGCCCUAGCCACACACUGCCCAAUGACUUAUUUAUCUGCACAUGCUACAAUAAAAGGGUGAAUUAUCUAAUAGUAAGAGGUGCAAACAACUCAAAUAUAUUGGUAUAGAUAGUCAUACACACACACACACACACACACACACAUAUUACACCAUCAUGCAUACAAAAUGUUCUAACAAACAUUUCCAAUAUUAGGGGUAUAUCAUUCAUCCUUAAGAGUAUUCCAUAAAUUUCUCAAAUCAUAUGGAUACCAUUAUAUGUCCGUAAAUAAUGCAUAUCAAAUUAGGCUUAUUUAUGAAGCCAUUACAAAUUUGAUCUUCAUAGGCACACCAUAUUUGCCAAUGUGUCAUAUUAAAUUCAAAUUUAUCUCUAUUUACUCGAGGUCAUAACAUAUCACUCAUAUUUCAAAUCAUAAUCAUAGAGUGAUCAUUCUUGGACAUAAUCAAAUCACACAUGUUGGCUAAUCGACAGAGUUAAAUCACGUUCAAGUUUAAGUCGUUGGUGGAGCAUUAAAUCACGCACGUGCCGAAGCAAUGGGCAGAGGAUCAGAUCACGCUUGGAGUUGAAACAUUCGGUGGAGAACAGAUCAUGCUCAAUGUUGAAACAAUUGACGAAGAAUCAAAGUCAUCAUUUAAAGGUACUCGACAAAUGGCAUCAAGUGGGACUAAUACCACUAUCCCUUUAGGCAUAGAACAAAGUCACAACAAUAGGACUCCACUCAACCUUAAAUCAAACCAACGUCCGAAAUUCUCCUCAUCGAACGGAAUAUAAAUCCACAAUCAAGGCCAUCAUGCCUUUGAUAUCACAUAUAUCCACCAUUUCACAUCAAAGAUUAUUCUUAAUGAAUUUCAAAUAUUAUCUAGCUCAAUACCAUUUCUAAGUGCUCUCGAUUCUCCAAGGCAUCAGAUAUUCAUAAUCCUCUAAGAGGUUAAUUGUCUAGAGUAACUAUUCCUAGACAUUCCUCAUAAUUCACUAGACUUCCUAGUCAAGGCUCAAACAUACACCGCUAUCCACCACUAUGUGGCUUGCGCUAUGGCACACACAUACACAACAUUUAUAUCAUAUAUAUAUAUAUAAUUUAUUAAUUUAGACACAUCCAUCUAGGCAUUUAUAUAUGUACAUAAUAUUUUCGUACCAUGGUAGUGCAUCAUUCAAUGCGUGAUGCAUGACAUCCAUUUUAUUUAACAAAUAAACCCACUCACAAUAACAGUCGAAGGCACUUUUUCAUAACCAAGCUCAACUUCUAGCCUCCAGCCAUUGCCUAGCUCACCAAUAAGUCAAUAGGUUCAAUUUCCUCUUGAACAAAUCAAAAUAAUAAUUAUUUCCUAGCUUUCAAAUUUUUCAACUUUUCAAAAAUAAGCUUUAUUCUAACUUUUCAUUGUUAUAAAACCUAUGUUCCAAAUCUAAAGUUUAAAAGGCUUAAAUCCUUACCUUAAAUGUUAGAUUACCCAAAUCUUAACUCCAAAUCUCCAGCAAAAUCAAGGGAGAAUUAUACCUGCGCUAAAAUGAAUGGGUUUCAAAAUUCUAAAUCAAUUAAAUCAAAAAUCAAUUGGUAAAAAUGCUUAACCUUACCUCUAGAGUGGCUUUCCAAGCUUUAAUCCACUUUAAUUGAGCCUAAAAAUCAAGUUGGGGCCCUAGGGUUUUGGUGGGUGGAGAGAGAAAGGGGUUUGGGUUUUGUUUUAAAUUGAAUGGAAUGCUAAGACCCUUUUUAUUUUUGCAAUUAUAUAGGGAUGUAUUGAUACAUUUGCACAAUUUUCCUUCAAAUCUAUCAAUACAUGGAGUCAUGUAUCGAUAGUAUCGUUAGAUUUCAAACAGAAUGCUUUCUGCCUGAAAUCUAUCGAUGAUUUGAGAAUCUAUCGAUACUUUUUCCAUUGAAUGCCUCCUAUUUCAGAUCUAUUGAUACAUUUGAACAAUGUAUCGAUAGAUGUUCAUCUUAGUUCAAAUCUAUCAAUACAUUCUUUGAAUUUAUUGAUACAUUUGAACAAUGUAUCGAUAGAUGUUCAUCUUAGUUCAAAUCUAUCAAUACAUUCUUUGAAUUUAUUGAUAGAAAAUGUCUAGAUUGCUUCAUAUUAUUUUUCCAGCCAAGAAUGUAUCAAUACACUUUCCCUUAUAUAGACAUUUUCAACACUCCAACUUAAAAAAAUCCAAAUCUUAACAUCCCAAAUCAUUCCUUGUUUAAAUCACACCUUAAACAACUAGUAUAACUCAUAAUUCUUAUACAUAUAUUCUCAAAUAUAAGAUCAAAUCUCAAACUUUAAGCUUCAUCAUAUAUGACUCUCGAGUAAAAAGAAAGAGUGAGAAAGCAAAGAAUAAAUGAGUAGCCACACAAAUAUGAUUGACAAUUAAUGUCUGAAAAUACGACAACAGGAAUAGAAAGCAGGGAAAUGACAAGUAACAAAUUAGCAAAUAUGAUCCUAUAUGCUGCUGUGCCACAAUAACAUGACUGAAAGUGAUAGUGAAGAUCAUCAAUUAUUAUAUUUUAAAAGUUACAGAUAUAGAUUGUAGAUUAUACUUUAAUCUCUUUAUAAACAUGUGAAAUUUUACGAAAAUGUAAAUGAAUAUAAUUGUCUUUCUUUACUUUUAUUUUUUAAGUAGUUAAUUGAUACUUUUCAACUUUUUUUUUAGAUAGACAUUUCAUUUCAACGAAGAGAAAUUUAAAUCAAAUUCUUGUAAGAGUACAAGACAACACCAGUAAGUUACUAUUUAAACCCAUAAUCAACUUAAAAGCCAGACUUUGCAAGAAAACCACCCAGCAAAAGUGUCACAUUCAUUCCUAGAGAGGAAUCAAGACAGAACCUAUACAUCAAUUCAAUCAAAACUCACAAAUCCUACCCCAUCUAUACAAAAACCUGAUUCAAUCAAAGAUCAGCAAACAAUAUACUCUUCAAUUAAGUAAUACGUUUAUUAUCACAAUCUUUUUGAGACCAACUCACAUAAGAGAUGAUGAAAUUGUUCUAAGCUUCCUUGUAACUAACAUUCGGAUAAUCAAAAAACAGAUCAAAAUCUUCUGAAUUUAUUGCACUAUCUUCCCUUCUCACAUGGCAUCAAAGUCUAUUAUCAGGAUUGUUACAGCUUUCAGUACUGUGACGAAAAAUCACCAUAGACUCAUCUUAAAAAACUCACAAGUAUUGAUGUUGUAAUUUUUCUUUGAUUUGUGCUUAUUGUCUCCAAUUGUUUGUUCAUUGAAUCUAUAACUUUAUACAAGGCUUUCGUCCCAAAAUUUUUUUUUUCUAAUUCCGUCAUUGAUGGUGCACUUGUGAUCAAUAUAAUUGUUUCAUAUUGAAAAUAGUGGAAUAUAGUACACACGGAACUCAAUCAUUCAAAAAGACAAAAUCUUAUUCAUUAUUUCAAGUUUUCGUGUUCAAGUGUUCUUCAGUAUAUAUGUACGUGUAAGUCCAAUUUCUUUAUACUUAAAUAAGUCUUAAUUCUUUUAUUUCAAUUAAUUAAAUCUCUUUAUUUUUAUUUUUACUCAAAUAGAUCUUUAUAGUUAAGGAUUAAUUUAUAAUUAUCAUUAAUCAAAAUAUCACUUGUUAUUUUAUGUUCAUGUGAUACUGACGUGACGUUGAUGUAAAGGGUGAAAAUAUUACAUAAUAAUGUCAACAUGUCACAUUAGUAUGUUACAUUAUUAUUUAUUAUAUGUUAAUUUACCACAUAACAUAGAAUGAAAAGUGAUAUUUUGACUAAUAAUAAUUAAUAAUAAAAAUUUAUUUGACUCAAAAUAAAAAUGAUAAAAACUUAAUUGAACGUAAUGAAAGAAUAAAAACUUAAUUAUUUAAAUUUUUUGAAUAAUUCAAGAUUUUUUUAAAAUAGACCUUGGCAUGUCAAAUUAAAUCACUUCCUAUCCUUAGCAAAAGAAAAUGAAUGCAAAUAGACAAUGCAUUCGGUAGCUUAAAAAUAAUGGAAGAGAAAGAGAAAGAAAGAAAUUCAAAGGCGCUUUCAAUUUCUUAGUUGUAAUCACAUGCCCCACCACUUUGUUUUGCCAGUUUCGUACAAUAAUUCAGCAAGUAGAUGAUCAGCCUUGCAAUGCUUUUUCAUGCAUAUGGGAAGGAGAAGCCAUUCACGUCACCCCUCCAUCAACACAAAUAAUCCGUCCUGCUAUGUAACAGGCUACCGAUAGGCAUAGGAAUGCCACCAAGGAAGACACUUCUUUAGGCUCUCCAAUCCGUCCCAAAGGAGUUCUUGAGAUUACAGAUUUCAGACAUUUUUUCUUCUUCGAAAGCCUGCAAGGGAGAGGAACAAAGUGUGAGAUUAUAAUUUGCCUGAUCUAGACUUUUUCACUGGUGGAUUAAUUUAUGCUACAUAUAAAUGGCACAUUAAUUAGAAAAUUGAUCUUAUUACAGCUUUGGUAAGAGGGGUUCUAAUGAACGCUGGCGCAACACAAUUAGUCCUUAUAUUGUCUUUUGGCCACUCACAAGCUAAAGUCUUUGUAAGUUGGUUCAAUGCUCCUGCAGAUUGGGAGGAUCACACCCUUUUGAGGCAUUUUUUUUUUCCAAUUUAGAACGCCAUAUUUGUUGCAAAAUUAUGGAUGUAAAAGAAUCUACCUUUGGCUGCACUAUAGAAGGAUCCACCUAGAUUUAUUGAUAUAACAGCAGCCAUUGAAGAUAUGAAAACAACGCUUCCUGCUCCCGGAGCUUUGAGAUCAAGGGGAUGUGAAAAUUGGCACAGAUAAGAUGCAGAUUCGAAAUUCGUAUUCGUUAGAGUUGAGAACUCUUCAGCGGUGAACUCCACAGUUGGCUUCCAUAAAUAUACUCCGACAUUGUUUAUCUAGAGACAGAAAACUGGCAUAUAAAAGAACCUAAUUCCACCAUGUAGAAGUUUUCUGAAUCUGAGGAAAUCUAGUUGGACUUACGAGGAUGUCAAGUUUCUCAUUGAAAAGAAAGGAGACUGUGCUCACUAGUGUUAUGAUUAAAUCAAUACAGUAGAAUCAAGCAUGCAGAGAAGAAGAUGUAAAACAAAAUAAAACAGAGGAGCUUAGUUAAUAUUGAUCAUAUCCAUUAACUAAAGAAAGAUACAUGAAUAUAUACAUUAGAUGCAUGGUUAACACUUGUACAAAACUACCAAGUGUUUAACAUAGGAUUAAGAUAAGCAUGCAAUGCUUACACGUUCAACUACAUGUAGCAGCAACCAAGACUCUGGCUUAUGAAACCAGUACAAUGAAGCAAAAUGGACACUUGUCCAAAACUUAGUUAAAUAGAAAAACAACACUCAAGCUAGUUUUAUCUCAACAACUACCUUUUCUCGUUGUGCUCGGGAUGAAACAUCACAGACUGAGCCUGAGACUUGGAAGCCUUCUUCUCCCAUACACUUAAACAUUGUUUAAGUUGUGUUUCAGUCGAGAGCAUGUAUGUAUCCCGGCCCCAAACGUUGACAAUUCCACCACAAUGGCAUACCAUCUGCUGCUGUUCUUCUUUCUUCUCUCUGCCUCAGCCAUUUUCCUUCCCAACGUCUUUCUAUCUUCCUCCCUUACUCUGUUAAGAAGACUAGAUAAACUAUUUAUAGAUACCAGAUGCAAAUUAAGAACCAACUGUCAAAUUUCAAACGUUCAACACUUGACUCUUGUAAAGCAAAAAACGUGAAACGAAAAUUGUCUUUGAAGACUUACCUCUUCUAGUGAGAAUUCAAGUAUGCUUUAUUGCUUCAAGUUUUUGUUUCUGAAAAUGUUUAGUUUGCCUAGUUUACUUGUCCAGUCCAGUCCUUACUAGCCCAUUUGAUUUGAAAUCUUCCCAUACCGGCCCCUAAGCUUAGCAAAUAAUCAUUCUUAAAUUUUAAAUGAACGAUAAAAACAAAAUCAAAUGACCCAAACUCAAGCCGAAUCAUGAAGAACAUGUCAUAAAUUUUAACUACAAAUUCUUGCAACUCAACAACUUAUUUUUUUCCAAUAAAUGGAGAACUUUUACUCCCUUUCUGAGAAUGAAUUCAAUAAUAAAAUUUAAUUUUUAUUUUUCAAACUUGUACUUGAAAAUAAUAGAUUUUACAUAAGGAGAUGCUUAUGAAAUUCCUCUAUUUUGCUUUUGUUUCUUUAAUCAAAAAGAAAAGUGAUUGCUAAACGUUAAAAGAGAUGUUUAUACUAACCCUGCUUAUUUCUUAAUAAAUUCCUAAUAUAAGGAAAUAUCCUAACAUAGGUCUAACUAUUUAUAAAAUAAAACAGUAAGAAACUUUUUUUUUUCAUAAUUUGAAUUUUAUAAAUACAGUAGCACAAAUGUCAUUUUGGGUUAGUGUAUUACAACAUACAUCUCUAUCUUUUUUGUCUCGGAAAAAUGAGAGAAAUAAGGGUUUGGGUCUUUCUUGUAGAACAUUUAAGCCUGAUAAGAUUAAGAGUAAUAUAUACCCGUUUAUUUCACCUACAAGAACUAAGAAAAGCAUGCCAGAAUGCAAAUUUGUGUCGUACAACAAAAUUUGCUGGUCUUUUCAUUCAAUUGGGAAGAACACGAAUCAAUGAACGUCAAGCUCCUGCUCGUUCAAAGCUGUUCAUCACAAUUCAUGAUCAUCUGUCGGCUUUUUCCUUUUUACGGUAAAAGUCUAGCAUGACAAGAUGUUUGUCUUGAAGCCCAAGGACUAGAAAUUAAGUUCCCAUGAAAUUUAUCGAGCUUUCGAUGAAGAACAAGUCACCAGGGAAAGCCAACAUCUACUUGCUUGGUAAAGAACAAAUGAUUACACCUAUACAAAUAUGAUUGAACAUUAAUGUCUUAAAUAGGACAACAAAAUAGAAAUCGCUUAUUAAAACUCCAGGUUUUGGGGUCAAAUUAAAUCCUAAACCCAUCUCUUUGUUCUUGUUCAAAGUCUUGCUCUUGGGAAGAAGAACCCAUUUGCUGUCACCCCACCAUCAACACAAAUAAUUUCCCAGUUAUGUAGGAGGCUGCUGGAAGGCAUAGGAAUGCUACCAAAUGGGCAACCUCUUUGGGCUGUCCAGGGCGACCGAGAGGGGUUCGAGAGUUCAGAGCUGCCAGAAAUUCUUUGCUACUGAGAAUCUGACAAGAAAAAAUGGAAGUAAUUCAAUAUCACAGUUACAAUAUAUUUAUUAAUCCAAGAGAAAAGCAUGGUGAAGAGAUGUUCCUGGUUCAACAAGUGGGGUUCUAAUGAAAUAAGGUGCAACACAAUUGCUCCUGAUAUUGUCUUUUGCCCACUCACAUGCCAAAUUCAUAGUCAGCUGAUUCACUGCUCCUGUAUAAAGAUAUUUGACCAAAAUUUACACUUAACAAAUUAAACUGCAUGCAUUAAAAUUCAGGAUUACUAAGAUUUAGUUUUUCUCCGAAGCACCUUUAGUUGCUCCAUAGAUAGAUCCAAUAUUGAGCGAGAGCACACCAGCAACAGAAGAAACAAAAACAAUGCAUCCAGCUCCUGAUGCUUUGAGAAGGGGAUAAGCAAGUUGGCAGAAAUGGAAAGCAGAUUCAAAAUUGAAUCUUAGAUUACUAAGAUUUAAUCUAAGCAUGCUUCCUACCAUCUAGUGUUUACACUUGAAAACUUCACAUAGAAGAGAUAACGAGUCAACCUUAGGAAGAAGUUAACUUACAAGGAUGUUGAGUUUUCCGGUUAAGAGAGGAAACUUUGCUCAUCAGCCUUUCCCUUUCAGCUGGAGAGGCUACAUUACAGACUGAACCAACAACUUGUAAACCUUUCGUCCUCCAUUCUUUCAAGCAUUCAUUCAGCUGAUCUUCAUUGCGCGAGCACGUAUAAACUGUUGCCCCUAGCGCUGCCAACUCUUCCACCACAGUAUGCCUAAAACAUAAUUUAAUACGACAUAUUGGAGCAACAGAUAUUAACUGAAAGAGCAAUCUCAUGACUACAGAGGGAAUAGAGAAGGAAACUAGCCAUUACCCAAUUCCUUUUGUUCCACCAGUAACAAGAGCAGUUGCUCCUUUGAGAGACCAUUGGCUGUCUCUACAGCUUGGGGUUCCAUCCCUUGCCAUUUCUCUCUCUCUCUCUCUAUCUCUCUUUCACUCUCCGGUCAAGAGCUUGAUGUUCAGUACUGCAGCUUUUUGGAGCUCAAAUUUUGGAAACAAGCGUAAAGAACAAUAUAGUGACAAAGCCCAAUGCCAGUCAACUAUCGACGAGUACAAUUAAAAAUAUACAACGACAGACUGCUAGCUGGUCGCAUAUGCCGAUUGUGGGAUUCAUAAAGAAAUUGUGAGAAAUAAUUUUUUUAUUUAAAAGUAUAUUUUAUUAUAAUUUUAAUUAAUUUAUCACAUGAUUUGACAAUAAUACUUUUUAAAUAAUUUCAGAUAAAUUAAAAUAAUUUUAGCUUUUUUUAUCCCGUUAUCUAGAUAAAAAUUUUAAAAUUAAAUCCUGAUUUCUCUUACCAAAUACUGUCUAUCUCGUCAUUCAGCUCUUUCUCGUCAUCCCAAAAAACAGAUAUGACAUUAAAGUAGGUAUUUUAGGUUAUUAGAUUUAUUGGUUUAUUCAUAGAACUCUAAAAUUAAGGAUUUAAAAUUGAGUAGAUAUAUUUAUAAAUUAGAACACUAUAUGACUUUGGCAAUUUAAACCUAGCUACGAGCAGGUAAAUCAAUUAGUUAUUAAGUAUUACAUUACUAGCUUUUAGGCAUCGUGUUACUAGGUUUUUAGAUAUUGCGAGACUAGUUUUUAAUCAUUGCAUGACUUAAUUAUUGCGUCUCUGGUUUUUAGGCAUUACGUGACUAGUUUUAGGUACUACGUGACUGAUUUUUAGGCAUUGCGUGAGUGAUUUUUUAGCAUUGCCUAAGUCAUAUAAUGCCUUACUGACUAGUCAUACAAUGCCUUACUGACUAAUCAUACAAUGCCUUACUAACCAGUCAUGCAUUGCCCAUCAACUAAUCACGUAAUACUAUAUUAAUCAGUCAUGCAAUACCUAAAAAUUAGUGAUGCAAUGCCUUAAAACUAGUCACCUAAUGCCCCAAAACCGGUUACGCUAUGCCUAAAAACCACUAAAACUAUUGAAUUUCAUUCAACAAAAUCAACAACUUCAAACAAUACACUAUAUUCCAUUUAACGACAUAAUCAACGAAUAUACUUACUUGACCAAGAAUGCUCGAAAUGCUUAAAGGUUUUCCUUCUUGUAUCAAAAACCAUUCUAAAAUGCUUAAAAAAUGCUUAACAUGCACAAAGGUUUUUCUUCGUGUAUCAAUAACUACUCCAAAAUAUUCAAAAUGCUUAAAAGUUCUUUUUUCUGGCAAGGAAUACUCUAGAGAUGAAUGGUUUGGCGAGAAAAGUUCAAAGGAUAUGAGUCGAUUUGAGAUGCGGAUCUAAACAUAUAAGUUGGUUUCAUUAAAGGUAAUUUUGUCUAAAAUUAAUUUUUCUUAACUAAAAAUAGUUAAAAUUAUAAAGAAUGCUAUUUUCGAAAAUACCUUAUGUAUAAGGGGUAUUUUUGAAAAGAACCCUUGAUAAAAAAGGAGCAAUUGCUAAUAAACAAUUAUGCCAAAUUCAACACAAUCAAAUAAGGACUAGAAAACCCUGCCAUAAGUGCCUAACCAGGCUUUAACAAGUUAAUUAACUUGUUCCUGGUAUCAAAGAUUAGAAGAAAUAUGCUUUGCAAACUGAAAAGAUAUGGUAGGUUAGGAAUAUCUAGCUUUAGCUAUAAAAAUUUGGCACUCUUUGCGAAAUGAUGGUGGUAAUAUGGCACAAAAAGUGGUGUUCUCUGGAUAUGCUUAAUAAUGGAGAAAUAUGGCAAUGAUCAAUCUAAUUGGCUUCCAUCCAUUGCUCGACCUUCUAAAAUGUCAUCGGCUUGGCGAAGCAUAAUCAACAUAUCGUCCAUCAAAGAGGUUCAGGAACUUAUAAGAUUUCAUGCAUGUCGAUGCCUCAUUGGUAAUGAUGCCCUUCUCAUUUUUUGACUUGAUAAAUGGGCUUUGGAAAAUGAAGCUCUUUGCUUCAAAUAUCCUAGACUUUUCUCUAUUGCAAUGGACAAGGGGCCAUAGGUGCAUGAUAUUUGGCACAAUGGCAAUUGGUCUAUCUCUUUUUGACGCAACUUUUUCUCAUGGGAGGUUGAGUUUUAUAGCGAGCUUCGUUCAUUGUUGGGUCACAUUGUUCUUGUUCUGAGCAAAAUGGAUAAACUUAUAUGGAAGUAUAACUCUAGAGGUAACUUUUUAGUCAAAACAUUUUGCUCUUUACUUGAUGCUAGUUCUAAUAGUCACACUUCAUGGCUCCACUUUGUUUGGACAUUAUCUGUCCCCUUAAGUUUCAAAGCUUCUUAUGGCUCGCUACUAUUUACUCGAUCCCCUUCAAAGCCUUCCUUCACUUGAGGGGGGUGGACUUCAGCUCGAAGCAACUACAUUGCACUUGGUGUGGUUAUGAGUUAGAGACAUGCUCACACAUCCUUCUCACAUGCCAUUUUAAUUGGACAACAUAGGGCCUUGUUCUUUAAUACUAGAGGAUGUGAUGGUCCUCUCUUUGUACUAUAUCAUCCUUUUUGCAAUCUUGGGCUGGUUGUGCUUUGGUGAAUCACACACACUAGCGGUGGAUGAUAGUUUGUUGUGUCACGUUUUAGUCUGUGUGGUUGGCUUGUAAUGAGUUGGUUUUUAAUAGCAAAGUAUGGAAUGGGUCUGAAAUAUUUUUUUUUAUUCGAAUGCGAUCUAUGCUCUGGGUGCACGCAUGUGAUGGCAUUGAUGUGGUUGAUGAUAAUGGCUAGUGGCCCGAACCCCGACACACAUAUAUUACACGGUCCCUCUCUCCACUCGCAACUAGGGGUCUCUUGGAUACCUUUAUCUGAAGAUGAGUUUAAAUUCAAAGUGGAUGGCUCAGCAAAGGGUAAACCAAGCCCAGUAGGAUGUGGUGGAGUACUAUGUAACUCUAAUGGUUAUGUUGUGGGCAAGGGCGGAUUUAGAAAAUUUUCUAAGUGGUGUUAUAAGUAAAAUAAUAAUAAUAAUUAAAAAAUUGUUUACUCAAUUCAAGAUCUGUCGAGAGAGCACUUAGAUCAAAUUCAAUACAACUUUGCUUAGAAGAUUAUUGAGUACCAUCAUUAGUAGAAUUAUAUUCUUGUUGAUUAGGAUUUGAAUGUUGUAAGACAAUUCCUUGUAUUUUAAAAUUAUCUUUUCAAGACUUAUUUAUACAAAAACCUGUUAAAAAUUAUUACUAAUUUCUCAUUAGCAUAUUCAACAACUAACAAUUUGACAAAUUUCUAUUCAUCGAUCAAACUAAGUAUAUGCAUCUACAAACUACGUAAACUUAAAUACAAAAAUUAAAUAAUCAAAUAAUACAUCUACAAAAUAAAUCAAAAAAAGAAAGACGCAUAAUUUCAAAAUAUUAUUUGACAUGUAAUACUAUUUUCUGUUAGCAAGAUUUUGUUCGAAUCCUAAACUAUCAAAUUAAUCAAAAAUAUUUACACAUGAAUCAUUUAAACACUUGAUUUGGGUUGAAAAUUAUUUAUAGUUGAACAAUUAAAGUUUAGAUGAGUUGUUUUGAAAGAGUAAAAAAUGCAACCAAAGAUCUAGAAGAGAAAUCUCAUUGCAGGUCUCAAAAGUAAUAUUUGAAUUUUUGGAGAAAAAGAUUUUAGUUUAGGUUUUGACUUUUUUAAUAAAAUCUUAAAUUAUAAAUUUUUUAUCUUUUAAUAUUUAAAUAUUAAUAUAUAAAUUAUUUUUUGAUAAAUUUAUUUUGACCGGUAAUUUUUGACCCCACUCUUUACAAAAUUGUAAAAAAAUUAGUGAGUUCUUUAGUGUUAUUAAUCAAUAAAAUUCUAGAUAAGUAAUAUACUUAGUAUAACAUGACACCACUCUUAUAUAGCUGGGUCUGCCCAUGAUUGUGGGUGUCUUGUUUGGCCCACUUGGCAUCCAAGACUCCAACUUUGCAGAGCUUAUGGUCAUUCUUCAUGCAUUGCAUCUUUUCUCUCACUCCUCUUUCACAAGUUCUAAGUUGAUUAUUGAAUCUAACUUCAAGAAUGUUCUAUCGUGGGUGACCAACAUUGAUACGAGGCUUUGGGACAAGUGAUAUUUAUUUAAUGAGAUUGAUGCACUUGUUCUUUCACUGGACAUGGUGUCUUUUACUCAUAUUUUAUGACAGGGUAAUUGUUUUGUAAAUUCCUUAACGAAGUUUGGAGUUAAUAGAAACAUGAUAUUCUCAACAUGGUGGUAACUUUUGAUACUUUUAUUUGGUUGAGCUGUUGCCUUCUGUUUUAUGUUAAUACUUGGAUUUGUUUAUGACUUUUGCAUUGUCUUACGGUACCGAUAAGCGAAUCUUUUAUUUAAUGGUACCGAGUACCACUAGGGUUGUACGCGAUUGCAUGUCCUGACCCUUGAUCCCCAUAUAUAAACAGAUCUUUACAAUGAAAUUUCCAUAAUUUUAAUACAAAUUUCUUUUAACUAAGAAAAAAACCAUUUUAUUACCUUGGGUCACAGUUUUAUUACAGCUUGCAAAUUUCUCACGUUACAAACUUCACUUAGCAUUCUUUUCCUCUCAUUCCUUCUUUAAGUUUUUUUUUUCUUUUAAAAGUAAAUUCCAUUAAUCAAGACAGGGAACCCUUGUAAAGAACGUUCUUUCUUUAAGUUACAACUAAUACACCUAAACCACACCUUUUCCUUUUAGAAAGAUUACAAGAAACCUUAAAUUUCUCGAUAUCCGAACUUCAAACUAUUUAUUUGAGUGUGAAAUAAUAGUUUCUCCCAAAUCGUAGUUAAAAAAUUAAUAUAAACAGAGCGGCAAUCAAAUGGCAGUUUAACUUGCGAGAUACUGAAGUAUCCUAUUCUGAUUAGAUAUUGAGAUCUUUCAUCCUUCUCUGUCACUGCGUAAAACUAGUCUUCCCAUCAAACUUCUUAAUUGAAAAAUUUGUAGAACUAACAACUUUUGACAUCCUUGUUGAAUCUUGAAUUUACCGAACUCGAAGUUCCGAUACCAAUUUGUUGUGGAAAUUACCCAAGAAAUAACAAAGAUAAAACUCAGAGAAAUCAAGUAAACAGAAAACACAAGAAUUUACGUGGUUCGACCUCUUGCCUACGUUCAUAGAGUGAAACUAUUCUUCUAUAUUUGAGAAAUCAAAGUACAAUAAAUUGAUCUCUAUGAUUCUCCAAACUAACCCAAGAUCCCUUGCACACUCUUCUUUAAUAAACUCUUAAGAACACUCACCCAAACCACUCUAGCUCCAUCUAGAGCAAAAGACAGAGUUACAAAGUGUUCCCUCUUUAGAGCUCUCAAAGUACUACUUGUAAUUCAAAAGCCUAGAGAUCCACUUUUAUAGUAUAAAAGUCCAAAAUAGAAUGUGAAUAGAACUCGAUGUGGAAUAAGAAGUUUAAAAUCAUACAACUACUCAAUGUUGUACACAAACAAGAAUCUUAAUCAUAUAAGAUCUAGAAUUCUAGUCAACCUAAAACUCAACAUAAUCAUAAAUUGCAAAUAACCUAGCAUUGUUCAGGAAUACAUAUAGAUUCCUCAACCUGACAAAAGAAAAAUCUACCACUUAUUCGCUCCUACCAACUAGCGUGCCAAAAAUUGAACCCGAGAAAUUAACAAGCCCCAUUACUUCUUUUGGCAAAUAAACAAACAUAACAAAGACAUUACAAUGAGGAAAAACAGAAGCUUACAAAGAUGUUGAGCUUGCUAUCAAACAAAGAUGAAACAUUUUCCGUUAACUUCUUUCUUUCUACUCCAACAGACACAUCGCAGAUAGAACCAAAAACCUCAAAACCCAAACUUUUCCAAUCUACUAAGCACUUGUCAAGCUCAUUUUCAUUACGUGAACAAGUGUGCACACUUGCUUCAAGUCCUACCAAUUCCUCCACUAUGGCACAUCUAAUAAACAAACCAAUAAAAGAUACCCAGUUCAAAAAGACUUAUAAAAGUUUCAGCUUUAUAGUUCAAGAAAACUAAAUGGCCAAUCUUUUUCAUGUUCAUGGAAAAUGGGAAUUUUUUUUGUUUUUACCCAAUUCCACGUGUGCUGCUAGUUACCAGUGCUGUCAAACCUUGAAGUGACCAUCUGUUAGAUUUUGUGUUUCUUGGCGCAAUGGAUUGGUUCAAAAUGGGACUUUUUUAUUGAAAUGAAAAGGAAGUUUUGGGAUUAAAAGAGAUGAUUAAAUGGGUGUUAUGCUGGGGUUUAAAGGAAGAGGAAAAAGGCUUUUGGGUGUUAAUGAUAACUGAAGAAGGUGAAAUCAGAGCUUGCUUCAUUGGCUAAUGAAAGGGCUUCAAACAGCUACCAGCUUCUCCCAUGAUGCUAGGUUCUUAAAUACAAAACAGAGUGGCAACUUGGUGAUCAAUAAAGUCAAAAUUGGUCACCCAAAAACAUAAAAACCCAAUUCAGAUACUACUUUACAAUAUAAUAUGAUUACAAGUAAUAUAAUUUCAAGCAAUGUAAUUGUAAAAAAGAUAAUAUUAUAAUAUUAGUUAUAUAAGCAAAGAAGAUAAUAUUGUAGUAUUAGUUAUAUAAAUAAAGUGUGUUUGAUAUAUAAGUAAAGCAAUGAUUAAAAUGUAUGGAAGAUAAUAUUAGAGCGUUUAGUUUACAAAUACUUUAUUGAGAAUAUAAUGUUAAGUUUCAAAAUUAUCCUUAUUUAUUAAAAUACAAAUUUAAUAUACUUGUAUUUUUUUAUUACUAAUUUUUAUAUAAUAUCAACUCUUAAAUAUAUUUUUAAUAUCAUAUAUUUUAUUUUUAUUUCUUAUUAUAGUCUUAUAUAUUUUGUUUUCAUUUUUUAAUAUAACUUUUUAUAUUAUAUAUUUUAUUUUAAUUUUUUCUUUUAAAAGAAAAAAUAAAUUUUAUUAACAGUUUUUUUUUUAGAGGCAAGAAGAAAUUUUAUUGACAGUUACUAUGACUACUAAGAAUAAUAAAAAGACAUUCAUUGAAAUCUAUAUAAAAUAAAUAAAUUAUAAUAUUAAAAAAUAUUUUUAUCAAAGUAACAAAAUUGAAAGAUAAAAAUAUCUUUAACAACAUUGCAGAGUAUACUUAUUUUAUGUUUAAAAUCGAACCAAUCGAACUAAUUUUAUGUUUGAUUUUGAUUGAUUUGGUCUUCUUUCAUGUUUGGUCGAUUUUGAUGGAUUUUUUAAAAAUGUUUGAUCCUUUUAAUCUUUAGGCAUGACAGACCCAACAACCAAAUCUACCUAUUUAUUCACCCUUAACUACUUAUAUACUUUAAAGCAUUUGUUUUGGCAUAUAGAAGGGGCAAAAGCAUAAUUUCAAGUAGGGUAAAGGAAAAAGAAAGGCUUUAUCUCCACUAGAGGCUCAUGAGAAUACAUCAUUCCAUAAACAUAUUGCUAGAAAAAAAAUUUCUAAGAAACAAAUGAAAAUAAAAUAAAGCAAGCAAAUAUAGUAAAAAGUCUGAAGCAAGGCAUCACUGUCCUUAAGGAUAAUUUUUGUCGCCCUUUUGGAGUACAAGACUUGGUGCAAAAAGACUGUAGCAGUUAUCCUCCAGGAUUCAAUAGACCAUUCCCUAUAGUUUGCACAAACUAGUAAAAGAUAGUAGGAAAACAAAAAAGAUUUUUCUGGAAAAAUAAAACUCAGUAGGAAAGGAAUGAAAACAGAAAAAUAGUAUGCAGAGAAACUUGAGAGGAGAGUAGUAAGAGAAACCUUGCUUGGUGUGUGUUGUACUUGAGGCAGGGAAGCUAUAUUUAUAGGUAGAAGAUGAAGUAAAAGUUGCACCAAAUCAGGAGAUUUUUUGAGUCUGAUUCAUUCAAAGGCUGAGAAAGCUUAAAAAAAAUUUGCUGGCAUUAGUUGAGUUUGAGUUGAUUCAUUCAAAGGCUAAGAAAGCUUAAAAAAAAUUAAAACUAAGGUAUAAAAAUUAACUUGGGCCUAGCCCAUGUGUAUACUUGUGCGCAAGAGAGAAAAUUUGAAUUUUUUCAAAGCCUAGCCCAAUCUCGUGUACGCACGAGCCCACAUCUUUUUCUUCUUUGUAACAAACCCAUAAUGAGUUUGCUUAUUUAAAGCACUCACACCUUUAUGUAUCUUAAUAAUGUAGGAUAUUUGAAUCUUAUGACAUACACUAUUUUUCCAACAUAUUUAUCUUCUUUGCCACCACUCCAUUUAUUCUUUCAUCAAUCGCCUAUGAAAACUGCUGUAGCUAAUUUUCCGGAUGAAAAUAACUUUGGUACAACAAUUUUCAGAUUGGUGAAUUCUGUCACAUAGAAAUUCAAGUGUUUAUGGCUCGAAUAUUUUUGUCACAUAGACAUCCACAUGACUGUGAUUUAUGUCACGUAUUCAUCCAUAUUGAUGUCCACAUAAUAUUAAGGUCGUAGAUUUCUUUUAAUUUUGAUGACGAUUGAUUGACGAAAUGAAUAAAAUUAGAAUAUUUUUAAAAACUUAUGAAAUUAAAAAUUAAGUAUUAGAAUUCACGAAUGAAAAUAAAAUAUUACACAAAAGUCAUAAAUGUUUGAUGCAAGUUAGAGAGAAACUCAUUUCUAAAAUGUGUAGUCUAUUCACUAGAGUUCCACAUGUCCUAAUUGUGAGCCUACCCUUUCUAUAAUAUUACGUCUCUUCGAUUAAGUAAUUUUCACUUAAUGUCUUAUUUUUGUUUGGAAUUAGUCAACCAAUGUGCUCAUAGGCCUUUUAAUUCUUGAAUAUUAAUCUAUAUCAUGGCAUUAUCAACUACAAAUGGCAACAAAAUAUAUAUAGUAGAAGAGUAAUUAUAGACAAAAUGCAAGAAGCAGCAGCUUUUGUUUCAUUAUGGUUGACAAUAGAAAUGAAAUCCAAAUCCAAACAAGUGUAGCAGUUCAGAUUUUUUUUUUAUUGACCAGCUGCAUUCUCAGACUAGCAGAUCAAGAGGAAGAAGAGAGAGAAAGACAAGCAACAGCUAGGAACCUUUGGCUGAGGUGCCGAGCGCUUCAUUUCUUAUUUUCUUGUUUUGUUAUUGGGCAAAGCCUUAUGCGCCAUUUCAAGAUUGGGAAUUAGCCUGGCUAUUCUUCCCUAGUAAGGUUUUAUGGCAGAAGAAGCCAUUCACUGACAUGCCCCCAUCGAUGCAAAAAGUCUGCCCUGUUAUAUAAGAGGAUGCUGGUAGGCACAGGAAUCCCACCAAGGAUGACACUUCCUCUGGCUCUCCAAUUCGUCCCAUCGGAGUUCGAGAGAUGAUAGUCUCUGAAAACUUUUGAAUGUACUGCAAGCAAGGAGAAGGACAACAAUUAUAAAUACUACUAAUUUACAACACUGACAAUAUUAUACAGUUUGAGGAACAAAAAUUUUCAUGCUUUAGUGUAACCUUUCGAAUUUAUAUAUGAACUCUUGCCAUAGUGGUCUCAAAUUGUGUACUCUUUAAUGAUCUGAAAAAUCCUAGCCAUCAAUAUACUCAUUUCUUGUAAUUUAUUCUAUAACUCUCUUGGGAUAUCCUUUUUGGUUACACUUACUCUGAAUGAUAUGAUCAGGCUUAUAAAUAUAAACAGUAAAUGUAUGGGGAAAAAUAUUUUUAAAGGUUCAGCAAGGGGAGUUUGGAUGAUCCAAGGUGCAACGGAGUUGACCCUUAUAUUGUUCUUUGCCCACUCACAUGCCAAGUAUUUUGCAAGGUGGUUAAUGGCUUCUGAAGACAAUGGAAUGAAAAUCUCAAUUCAGUCAAGAUUGAUAAAAUUACUCAACUGCUUGCAGUAGACCUUUAAUUUGGCAGGAAAAUUAUAUAUAUAGACAUACACACACACACACACCUUUUGUUGCUACAUAUAAAGAUCCACAACUUACUGAUACCACACCAACAACUAAAGAGAGAAAAACGAUGCUUCCUGCCCCUGAAGCUUUCAGAAGAGGGUAUGCAAGUUGGCACAAGUUGUAAGCAGACUCAAAAUUGGUGCCCAUGAUCAAUGAGAAAUCUUCAGCAGUGAAGUCUGGAGUCGGCUUUGAAAUAAGUGUUCCCACAUUGUUAAUCUAUAGCACACCAAGUUGGCAUUAUUGGAACCACAAAUGUCUCAUUAGCAAAACUCAGGAGUUGGGACACUAUGCAGAAUGAGAGUUACGAGAAAAAGAAAGAAUGAGAAUGGAUGUUUACUCACCAGGAUGUUGAGUUUUCCACCAAAUUCAGAGGAGAUAGUGUUUAUUAGCUUCUCUCUUUGGGCCUGAGAUGAUACAUCACAGACUGAACCAGUAACCUGGAAACCCUUUGCUUCCCAGUCAAGUAGGCAUUUGUUGAGGUCAGUUUUAUUUCGUGAGCACGUGUGUGUUCUUGCUCCCAGUGCAGCUAAUUCCUCUACGAUAGCAUACCUGGUUGCAGUAUUUAUUAAUUUGUGAUCAGUCAAAUAGAAGCUCCAUUUUGGCCAAUGUAAUGAUCCAAUCACCAAACGCAGAUCAUCUCAUAAACGUUCCUAGUUAAAAAGUCACAUCUAAUUAACAUGUAUAAACAACGAAGCAAAGUUCCUUAUAUUUUGUUUGUGCUUUUCCUCCAGAACUUGUCUCAAGAUUUUAAUACCUUGCGCAAUCCACUGGAUGCUUUGUUAUAUUCAUGAAUGUAUCGUUCUGUGUAUACGUAAAAAGUUUUGUCAUUGGAAACAAAUAUAUAUUCAAAGGGAAGUAAAGGAGAAGAAAAUGUCAAUGGCCUGAAAUAUAUGAAGAGUCUCCCAAUUUCGAGAAUAUUAUAUAAUAUUGAAAGGUAAAGUAGCAAGAAACGAGGAGUAGUAUCAAACUUGCAAAGAGCACAUGGUAAAAAAGAAAGAGAGAGAGAAGAGAGCAAAAUUAAGAACCCGAUUCCUUUGGUUCCACCAGUAACAAGUGCAGUCAUGCCUUGAAGACUCCAUCUGUUGUCCUUCCUAGAGCUAUCUGCUUGAGCCAUUCUCACUUCUCUCUCUGGUGGCUUGCAGUUGAGGUAUGUUAAUUCCCACAGAGGCUAUUGCUGACAAAAGAUUCAAUAGGAAAUUAAAUGGGGGAAAAGGACAGCACUUGAGAAGUCGUUUCCGAACAACUGUCACAAUUAAUGCAUGGCAAAAUGUUUACUCUCGAGCAAAUUCUAGAUGAAUUCUUUCUCAAUCCUAGAUGACAACAAGGGCUUAUUGUCAACAAAGAAAAUUUUAUUUUAGGCAUAUUUUUUUUAAGUUUAAUAUUUAAUAAAACUACAUCUUUUAUUGAGUAAAACACACCUAUCAUAUGUGAUUUUUUAUAUACAAAAAGAACAUAAUUCAAAGUAAAGUAAAUCCGCAAUCCACAAAAAUAUAUAAAGAGAGAUGCGUAGAAAGAUAGAGGACAAAGAGAGGAGAAGAAAAAGAGGUUUUCGAUAACGAUCGAUGAUGUGAAUGGCGACGAGAGGAGAGAAGGUAGAUGUUCUUUCCUUAUGUGAUCAUCAACUUUUAGAAAAAGACACCUUUGAUGUUUAAGGAACUUUACAUCUUGCUAAAAGGAGAAUUUAUAAAACUCUAUUUUUGAAUUCAUUAUUUUUUAAAAAUAUUCUAAAAUCAUAUUUUUUCAAUAAUUAUUUAAAUUAAAAAAAUAACAAAAUAUAUCAUCUCAACGUCUUCCGAAGUCCACACGAUAUAAAUCUCAACCCAAAAAAAAUCAAACAAGUAUAUCAUUUUUCUUUUUUCACAUGAAGAGGCCCAUAUUUUUACAUUGCAUCUGACUAAUUAAGAAGGCACAAUAGGUCUCGAUUUGUAUACAUAUUUUUUUACAAUUUUAGAAAUUUUAGCACAACAGACAUUAUGAGGCAACAGUUACAGAGCAAGUUAUAUUUAAAAUUUGUAGUCUAUUCACUAGGAUAUAAUUCAUAACCUUUUCAGAAGAUGGAAAGAGUGAAUCAAAUUCCAAUCUCUCUUUUUUGUUAACUUAGAUAUUAAAAUUUCUAUAAAUUAAUAUCGAUAAAUUAAUAAUCUCGAAUAAAUAAUAUUUUUGAUCAAUUUUGACUUAUGAUCAAUGUGGUAAAUUGAUAAUUCAUUAAAUUUAUAAAAUAAUACAUUUAAAAAAAAACACAAACACAUAAGUUUCACUUGAAAUAUAAAUUAAUAAUCUCCUAAUAUAUCAAAAUUAUAUAUAUACAUAAAUCAAUUAGAAGGGUUUUAUAAAAUAUGACUUCAAUGUUACUUGUAAAAUAUGACUCAAUUAGGAGGCCUUUGUAAAAUAUGACUCCAAUGUUACUUGUUUUUCUUGAAAUUGAUGUCUCUUUGGAUCUCAUUUCUAACUUUUCUUAAUAUUAAGCAAACCACUCAUAAAGUAACUUUUCUAGUUUCAGGAAUUUUGCAAUUUUGUGUAGUUUGGCAUCACCUUUUUCAAUGUUGGCUGAUAAAUAGACCUCUUAAUUAUAUUUGAUAUCGUUACUUGACUUAUUUGCAAGUUAAACUUUUCUGACACUCACUAUUGUAAUUCUUUUUAGGUGCAAUUUGGAUUUUUCAUGUUGUACUCACAAAAUACUUUACGUAUUUCAUUUGUCAUUAUUGAUUUCUUUACACCUUUGAGAUGAGAAGCCAUUGUAUUUAGUUUUACCGUUUGUGAUAUUGUAUGUUUUUUUUAUAAAUGUUUUUGUAAAGGGGGGGGGGGGGGGGGGGGGGGCGGGGGGGGNAGUUAAAAAUGUUUAUAUAUAUAUAUAUAUAAUAUAUAUAUUAUAUAUAUAUAAUAUAUAUAACUCAAUUAAGAAGCCUUUGUAAAAUAUGACCCCAAUGCUACUUGUUUUUCUUGAAAUUGAUGUCUCUUUGGACUUUAUCUCUAACUUUUCUUAAUGUAUUAAGCAAACCACUCAUAAAGUAACUUUUCUAGUUUCAGGAAUUUUGCAAUUUUGUGUAGUUUGGCAUCACCUUUUUCAAUGUUGGCUGAUAAAUAGACCUCUUAAUUAUAUUUGAUAUCGUUACUUGACUUAUUUGCAAGUUAAACUUUUCUGACACUCACUAUUGUAAUUCUUUUUAGGUGCAAUUUGGAUUUUUCAUGUUGUACUCACAAAAUACUUUACGUAUUUCAUUUGUCAUUAUUGAUUUCUUUACACCUUUGAGAUGAGAAGCCAUUGUAUUUAGUUUUACCGUUUGUGAUAUUGUAUGUUUUUUUUAUAAAUGUUUUUGUAUGACUUAAUGUUCAUAAAAUAUAUUAAUUAAGUAUACAUCAAAUGUGAUUUUAGGUUGUUGUAAAAUGGAUAGAUUCAUGACUUUUAUUUAAUAAAACUAAUUACACUCAUAACUUAUUUUGGAAAGAAAUACAUAAAAUAAUGAUAUAUCAUAAUUCAGUAAUUAUGUAAUAUUCGUAUAAUCACAUAUACAAUACAUGUGUUAAGUUCUAUAUUUUAAAAAAAUAAAAAAUACUUUGAUAAAUUAAUUUUUUCUUAAUUAAUCAUAAAUUAAUAAAUUAUUAAUUUAUCGAUUAAAUGAUAUCUUUAUUAAUUAAUAAAUUUUUAUGAUCCUAAAGAUAUUAAUUUAUACAUGUUUUAGUGCAUGUUCUAAUUCCAUAAUAUGCCAUUGGCUAAAAAAUUGUGGCUUUUUGUAAGCCUACCCUUUCUAAAACAUUACUUCUCCUCUAUUAACUAAUUUUCACUUAAUGUCUUAUUUCUCUUUGGAUUUAUUUAUGCAAUGUACUAAUAGGCCUUUUAAUUAUUGAAUAUUAAUUUAUAUCAUGACAUUAUCAACUACAGAUGGCAACAACACACACACACACACACACACACACAUAUAUAUAUUGUAGAAGAGUAAUUAUAGCCAAAAUGAAAGAAACUGCAGCUUUUGUUUCAUUAUGUAGACAAUUGAAAGAAAAUCCAAAUUCAAACAAGUGCAGCAGUUCAAAAUUUUUUUUUUGACCAGCUGUAUACUCGAACUGGCAGAUUAAGAGGAAAAAAAAAAAAAAGAAAGACAAGCAACAACUAGGAAGCAGUAGCUACGGUGUCAAAGCCAAAUGCAUCAUUUCUUAUUUGAGGCAUUUUUAAAAAAAACUCUUAUAAAUAAGAUGUUUUUAAAAAUAAUCAUCUUUAUAGUUUUAACUAUUUUUAGUCAAGUUGGAUAAAACUACCCUUAAUGAAGAUAUGAAAUUAUAUGUCAUGUACAAAAACAUGUUACACGUUAUGUACAAAAACAUGUGACAUGCAAUGAUUAGUUUGUUACAUGUCAUGUACAAAAACAUGUUACACGCCAUGUACAAAAACAUGUGACAUGUCAUAGUUAGGUUGUUACACGUCAUAGUUAGGUUGUUACAGGUCAUGUACAAAAACAUGUGAUACAUCAUGGUUAGGUUGUUACACGUCAUGUACAAAAACAUGUGACACGACAUGCUUAGGUUGUUACACACCAUAUACAAAAAUAUGUUACACGUCAUGUACAAAAAUAUGUGACACGUCAUGGUUAAGUUGUUACACGUCAUGGUUAGGUUGUUAAACGUCAUGUACAAAAACAUAUGACACAUCAUGGUUAAGUUGUUACAUGCUAUGGUUAGGUUGUUGCAAGCCAUAUACAAAAACAUGUGACACACACAUGGUUAGGUUGUUACAUGCUAUGGUUAGGUUGNGACCUAGGCUCCGCCGCAAAAAAUGGAUUAUGCUGAUGCUUAAGCGGUCGAGUCACAGAAUUCAUCAUGACUGGGGCAAAGAUUAUUCCUGCAAGUUGUUGUCCUGAUAAACUAAAGUAAAUAUAUAUUUAAUUUAAUUAAGUGAAAUAAGAGGUUUACCUAAUUUUGUUUUCAUAGUGUUGGGGACUUUGGAGUUUGGAUCACCACUUUACCUAAUUUCUGAUUUCUCAUUUAUCACUUUGAAUUGAAUCCAACUCCGUACCAUUAAGUAUUUUCUCAUUUACCUAAUUUUUUAGUAAUAAAAAAUUGUGUGGUGAUUAUCUGCAUGAACAUGGCCAAGUAAUAAUCACCCGCACUAGCUUCUAUUGCUUGCAAUAAAUAAUUAUCAGUGCCAAUCAACUUCAUUUAAUUAGGUAACCACUUGUUCGUUCCAAAAAUUUGGACUCCAAGCUUAGUUUAUUGAGUAUUUAUUAAAAUUAAUUAAGAUUUUUUUAUAUUAAAUACAGUAAUAGACCAUUAAUACAAUGAAUUUUUAUCAUAUUAAAUAAUAUUUUUUAAUAUGAUAAUUUAAAAAUUUUAAAAUACUCAUUGAAAUACUCAAAAAUGAAUAUUUAUAAAAUUUUGACAAAACUAUCUUUUUGUUGUUACAGUAAAAUUUUUAUAAAAUAAUCCUCGAUAAAUUAAUAAUCUUGAUUAAAUAAUAUUUUUUUCGAUCUCGACCUGAAACCAACAUGAUAAAUUAAUAAUUCGUUAAAUUUAAAAAAUAAUACAUUAAAAAAAAGAUAUUAGUCUCACUUGAUAUAUAAAUUAAUAAUAUUUUCAUACAUCAAAAUUUUAUAUAUAUAUACAUGAUUCAAUUAAGAAGUUUUGUAAAAUAUGACUCUAAUGUUACUUGUUUUUUCUUGAAAUUGAUGUCUCUUUGGAUCUCAUUUCUAACUUUUCUUAAUAUUGAGCAAACCACUCAUAAAGUAACUUCUCUAGUUUCAGGAAUUUUGCAAUUUUGUAUAGUUUGGCAUCACCUUUUUCAAUGUUUGUUGAUAAAUAGACCUCUUAAUCAUAUUUGAUAUUAUUACUUGACUUAUUUACAAGUUAAACUUUUCUGACACUCAUUAUUGUAAUUGCUUUUGCGUGCAAUUUGGAUUUUCUAUGUUGUACUCACAAAAUACUUUGCGCAUUUUAUUUGUCAUUGUUAAUUUCUUUAUACCUUUGAGAUGAAAAGCCAUUGUAUUUAGUUUUAUCGUUUGUGAUAUUGUAUGUUCUUUUUAUAAAUGUUUUUGUAUGACUUAAUGUUCAUGAAGUAUGUUAAUUAAGUAUACAUCAAGUGUGAUUUUAGGUUGUUGCAAAAAUGGAUAGAUUCAUGACUUUUAUUUAAUAAGACUAAUUACAUUCAUGAAUUUGUUUUGGUUAAACAAAUACAUAGAAUAGUGAUAAUUCGUAAUUGGUAAUUAGGUAAUAUUCUUAUAAUCACAAUAUAUAAUACAUGUAUUAAGUUUUAUAUUUUUAAAAUAAAAAUAUAUUUGAUAAAUUAAUUUUUUUAUUAAUUAAUCAUAAAUUAAUAAAUUAUUAAUUAUCGAUUAAAUUAUAUCUUAAUUAAUUAAUAAAUUUUUAUGAUCCUAAAGAUAUUAAUUUGUGGAUGCUUUAGUGUAUGUUCUAAUUCCACAAUAUGCCAUUGGCUAAAAAAUUGUGGAUUUUCGUGAGCCUACCCUUUCUAAAACAUUACUUCUCUUCUAUUAACUAAUUUUCACUUUGGAAUUAUUUAUGCAAUGUACUAAUAGGCCUUUUAAUUAUUGAAUAUUAAUUUAUAUCAUGACAUUAUCAACUACAGAUGGCAACAACGCAUAUAGACACACACACAUAUUUUGUAGAAGAGUAAUUAUAGCCAAAAUGAAAGAAGCAGCAGCUUUUGUUCCAUUAUGGUAGACAACAGAAAGAAAAUCCAAAUUCAAACAAGUGCAGCAGUUCAGAUUUUUUUUUAUUGACCAGCUGCAUACUCGGACUGGCAGAUUAAGAGGAAAAAGAAAGAGAAAGACAAGCAACAACUAGGAAGCAGUAGCUGCGGUGCCAAAGCCAAAUGUAUCAUUUCUUAUUUUUCUUGUUUUGUUUCUUGGGCAAAGCCUUAUGCACCAUUUCAAUAUAGGGAAUUAGCUUGGCUGUUCAUCCCGAGCAAGGUCUCAUGGUAGAAGAAGGCAUUCACUGACAUGCCCCCAUCGAUGCAAAAAGUCUGCCCUGUUAUAUAAGAGGAUGCUGGUAGACACAGGAAUCCCACCAAGGAUGACACUUCCUCUGGCUCUCCAAUGCGUCCCAUUGGAGUUCGAGAGAUGAUAUUCUCUGAAAACUUUUGAAUGUACUGCAAGCAAGGAGGACAACAAUUAUAGAUACUGCUAAUUAACAACACUUAAAAUGUUAUACAGUUUGAGGAACAAAAACUUGCAUGCUCUAGUGUAACCUUUCCAGCAUUUAUGAGUUCUUGCCAUAUACUUUUUAAUAAUAUGAAAAUCCUAACAACCAAUAUACUUAUUUGUUGUGAUUUACUUCAUAAUUCUCCUUGGAUAUCCUUUUUGAUUACUCUGAAUGAUAUGAUCAUGCUUAACAUAAAGACUAAAAGCAUUGGAGGAAAAAUAUAUAUUUUUACAUCAUCAGUGAGGGGAGUUCGGAUGAACCAAGGUGCAACAGAGUUGACCCUUAUGUUGUCCUUUGCCCACUCACAUGCCAAGUAUUUUGCAAGGUGGUUCAUGGCUCCUGAAAACAAUGGAAUGGCAACCUAAAUUCUCAAUCUUGAACGAUAACUCAACUAUAUGCUUGCAAUAAAGGUUUCAUUUGCCAGGAAAAUUAUAUAUAUAUACACGCACAUACCUUUUGUUGCUCCAUAUAAAGAUCCAAAACUUACAGAUACCACACCAGCAAUUGAAGAGAGAAAAACAAUGCUUCCUGCACCUGAAGCUUUCAAAAGAGGAUAGGCAAGUUGGCACAAGUUGUAAGCAGACUCAAAAUUGGUCCCCAUCAUAAAUGAGAAAUCUUCAGUGGUGAAGUCUGGAGUCGGCUUUAAAAUAGCUGUCCCCACAUUGUUAACCUAUAGCCACACCAAUUUGGCAUUUAUAUUGAUAUUUGAGGAUACUAGUUUGGCAUUAUUGCAAUCACAAAUGUCGUCUCAUUAGCAAAACUCAGGAGUCGAGACACUAUGCAGAAUGAGAGUUCGAUGAACUUUCAAAAAAUAAAGUGAAGGAAAAUGAAGGAGAGUAAAGAGAAUGCUUAAGAGCAGCAAAGUGAAGAAAAAAUAGAACAACUUCUUCAUUCAUAUCAGUUUGCUACUUAAAGCUUAAGUACAGGGAAUAAAAAAAGAACCAUAAGACAUGAAAUUAGAAACUGACAACUACCCACUAAGUAAAUUCAAUAGAUAAUUGAUCUAUAAUUCUAAGUGGUAGACUAACAUGUGCCAAGUAGGAUAAUCAACAAUAACUGACUGCAACAUAAAAAAUAAGACAAAACUUAAAUGAGUCUUAUGCACCAGCAUGUAGUAUCUGCUGGCUGCUCAGAUAAACACUAUCAACAACUAAAGAGAUGCAUUCCAACUUCAACAGAGUUACCAGAAAAAGAAAAGAAUCAGAAUGGAUGUUUACUUACCAGGAUGUUGAGUUUUCCUCCAAAUUCAGAGGAGACAGUGUUUAUUAGCUUCUCUCUUUGGGCCUGCGAUGAUACAUCACAGACUGAACCAGUAACCUGGAAACCCUUCGCUGCCCAGUCAAGUAAGCAUUUGUUGAGGUCAGUUUCAGUCCGGGAGCAUGUGUGUAUUCUUGCUCUCAGUCCAGCUAAUUCCUCUAUGAUAGCAUGCCUGGUUGCAGUAUUAAUUUGUGAUGAGUAAAAUAUUAGCUCCGUCUUGGCAUAAUCCAAGGAAAAGUAAAUUAAUCUCUUCACAUCAGCAUGUUAAUUGUAAUAUAAGCCUUUAACAAUUUCCCCUAGAAUCUAAUAAAUGAAAUCAAAAUCGUCUUGGUGAAUCGACCAUCACAGUCACUUUUAGCAAUACAAAAAUCUAAUUCCUGUUUUUCCUUGAUUUACAAAAUCUUUUAUCGAAUAUAAUGAUCUAAUCAACAAAACAGAUCACUUCAUCGCUUCAUACCAAGCGCCCCUAGUUAAAAAGUAACAUCUUGUUAAAAUGUAUAAACAACAAAGCAAAAUUUUUUAUUUUUUGUUUUUGUUUUUGUUCCAGAACCUGUCUCAGGAUUUUAUUAACUUACUCGAUCCACAUAAUGUUUAUCGCAUUCAUAACUGUAUAGUUCUGGGUAUACAUAAAAGGUUUUGUCAUUGUCAGCAAACAUAUAACUAAUUCUUAAGUUAUUGUACCUAAGUGAAUAGUCAAUGAGAGAAGUAAAGGAGAAGACAAUGUCAAUGGCCUGAUAUAUAUGAACCGUCCACCAAUUUCGAGUAUAUUAUAUAUUGAAAGGUAAAGCAGCAAGAAACGAGGUGUAAUAUCAAAUUUGCAAGAGCAGAUGGUAAAAAGAAAGAGAGGGAGAAGAGAGAAAGAGAACCCGAUUCCUUUGGUUCCACCAGUAACAAGUGCAGUCAUGCCUUGAAGACUCCAUCUGUUGUCCUUCCUAGAGUUAUCUGCUUGAGCCAUUCUUACUUCUCUCUCUCUCGGCUUGUAGUUGAGAUAUAUUAAGUUUAUAUAGACAGUUUCUUCCCACGUAGGUCAUUGCUGCCAAAAGAUUCAAUAGGAAAUUAAAUGGGGAAAGGACAGCAGUUGAGUAGUUGUUUCCAUAAUGUGGUCACAAUGAGUGGCAAAAUGUUCACUCUCAAGCCAAUUCUAGUUGAAUUCUUUCUCAUCCUAGAUAACAACAAGGGCUUAUUGUCAACAAAGAAAGAUGAAGGUGUUGAGAUCCCAUUUUUGCUUGGUAAUUCUAUAUACUAAACAGCUACAUUAAACCUAGCUUUUAAUUAUCUAGAGGGGAAUUUGGAGGUGGGGGAGGGGGUACGUGGUGAGAGUAGUUUUGUGCAUGUUGGGCAGAUUGCAUGUAGGCGUGGAUUUCAGGGCAUGGUUUGGACUACAUUUGGCACCUGUGACAUAACACACAGCAUGCCAAAAAAAAGGGCGGGAUUGUAGCUGUACAGGUCUAGGAAGAGGGGUUUUGCAGUUGACACCUAAGUUUGGUUGCAGGUUGUAUCUGCCAGCCUAGAGCAGGGGACUUAAGUUCAGGGAAUUGGAGGAUUUUGGGGGCUUUCUCCUUAAAAAAAAAAAAAAAUUGUUGGAGUUUAAAGGUCGUGGAAAAUUAAAGCAUUUAGAUCAUCUUUGAUACUAGUAAUGACAAAUUUUUUUCAUAAAGUACAAUCACUCUGGAGAAGAACAUGGAAAAAGAAAAACAAAAAAAAAAAGCAGCUUAGAGUGCUACCCUGAACCGUCUUAUUGACAAAAAUAAUCCUGACUACAUAUGUAAUCCACUUUUUCUGAGAGAAAUGAACUUGCAUAUACGGAGCUUAGGACUAAACAAUGCUAAGCCUCCGUUAAUUAGUUUAAGUAAAUAUAUUUUGUCGAAGAGCGAACCCCAAUGAGAGUUUCUUCGUACCCGAAAGGGAUGUUAUUGAUUUUCUUGAGAAAGUGAUGUGACUGUACACCAAGAUUAAUUUUAAAACAUAGAUGUUAUAUUAAAAUGUAUUCAGCUUAUCAUUAAUCAAUUGCAUAUUUCAAGCCAAAAAAAAAAAAAACCUUCUUGUUCAUUACGUUUGAAAUAUUGUUUGGAGAAUAUAUUUAUUGGACCAAACUCCAUCAAAUUGAUUGUCUGCUCAGUCUUUACCUUAGUAUAAUAUAGCUCAGCUUCAACGUGGCUUCGGCACUGCACAUUGAUCGAUGAAUGGCACGAGGGUUUCUCGAGUUAUCGUCAUGGGAUUCAAUAUUAGUUUAAGUAAAUGGGAAAAGGACAGCAGUUGAGUAGUUGUUUCCAUAAUGCGGUCACAAUGAGUGGCAAAAUGUUCACUCUCAAGCCAAUUCUAGAUGAAUUCUUUCUCAUCCUAGAUAACAACAAGGGCUUAUCGUCAACAAAGAAAGAUGAAGGUGUUGAGAUCCCGUUUUUGCUUGGUAAUUCUAUAUACUAAACGGCUACAUUAAACCUAGCUUUUAAUUAUCUAGAGUUAACAAAUUACUAGAGAGUAACUCCAAAUUAAGAAGUCCAUGAUCCAUACAUAUAGGGCAUUACUAAUUACUCAACAAUUAGGUAGUUAGUUGAUUUUUUUUCCUGAGUAAAAUUAAAAGGAAAGGGAGUAGAAUAAUUAAUCGACUGUUAAGUUAAGUUUUCGUUGUUUAAGUAAAUGUUCAACAAUAUAUAUAUAUAUAUCAUAUAGGAAAGUUGUUAAUUCAGUGCACUUAAUCUAUGAUUAUACUGAUCAUAUACUUUAAGGUUAAUAAUUUCUCGUACCUCCAAAAUUUAUCCCCCAAUGAGGUCAUGUAUUGCUUUAUCAACUUGCUACAGCCUGUCCAUAUUUAUCUCCUUCUCCACAACUCUGUUUAUUCUUUGAUGGGUCACCUGUUGAAACUGCCUCUAGACUUAGCUGUUUUUUAGCAAUUUAAUAUUAUAUCUGUAUGUCAGAGCACCAACUCCAAAAGCUAUAGAUAGUGAAUAACAUAUAUACCCUUCACAAUAUAUUGAAUUAAUUUUUUGUAUCUAUCUGUGUAUCUAUCUAUAUAUUCUUAUUAACCUUCAAUUCUUUUAAAGUAAAUUAUUCACAAAAAAUUUAAAUUUUAGUUAUAUAAAAAAAUUAGAAUUUUUAUUUCAUUGAAUCCAUCAAAAAUUUACUCACGAGAUUUUGCAUGGCUGAUGAGUUUUAAUAGCAAUAUCUAUGUUCAAUCAAGGACACAUAACUGACUUUUUCCAUGUAUGGAUGGUUAGCACAUGAGGUUAGGGUAUGAACCCAUUUUGUAUAUUUGUACAUUUUAUCUUUUAUUUAAUUUUUUUCUAUUAAAUUCAUAUUAUAUCUUGAUACAUAUAAUUUGUGCUAAGAGUGAUAGGACAUAACAUAUAAUUUAAUACGAUCACUACAACAAAUUUGAUUUAAAACAGUACAUUUUUAAAAUGUGCUACUAAAAAUAUUUUCAAAAAAUCUUUGUGUAUGAAGGGUAUAUUUGAAAAGAACCCUUAAUAAAAAAUGGCAAUUGCUAAUAAACAAUUAUGCCAAAUUCAAAACAAUCAAACAAGGACUAGAAAACCGUGCCAUAAGUGCCUAACCAAGCUUUAACAGGUUAAUUAGCUUGUUCCUGGUAUCAAAGGUUACAUGGAACAUGUUAUGCAAACCGAAAAAGAUAUGGUGGAUUAGGAAUAUCUAACUUUAGCUAUAAAAUUUGGCACUCCUUGCGAAAUGAUGGUGGCAAUAUGGCACAAAAAGUGAUGUUCUCUAGAGAUGCUUAAUAAUGAAAAAAUAUGGCAAUGAUCAAUCUAAUUGGCUUCAUCCAUUGCUCGGCCUUCUAAAAUGUCAUCGGCUUAGCCAAGCGUUGUCUAUUAAAUUCAGAUUAUAUCUUGAUACAUAUAAUUUGUUUUAAAAGUGAUAGGAAAUAACAUAUAAUUUAAUACAAUAAGGGAACACAUUUGUUUAGAAAGUCAUAAUGAAUGAGGAUUUAUAUAAAUGGUAGAAUAUUUAUAUUUUUAAACAAUUAAAUGAUCAAUCAAAUGAUAAUAAUAUAUAUUAAAAAAGAAACAUGAGGUGAUUAGCAAUCAACAUUUCACUAAAAAAAAUCAAUUGUUUCCAAUAAUAAGUAAUAAAAAGUUUACUAUAUGUUGUAAUCAAUCAAAACUAUUUCAUUUAUACACUUUGUGAAAGUGGAUUAGUAAUUAAUGAAUAUUAAUAUUUACUAAGAUUGAUAGUUAAUAUUUUCUAAUUAGUGGCUAGAAAAUUAGGUUUUAAGCUUAAUACGUUAUGAAUAAUUAAUUGAUGAUAUGUCUUAAUGAAUGAUUAAAUUUUGACUUAUAUCAUUUUUCCAAUAAAGUAAGAAAGUAUUGGUUGUUGAACGGAUAUAUGUCAAAAUCAAUGUGUUUUCUCCUUUUUACUUUUAUAAUCUUAAAAUGUAUAUAAUUAGUUAUAGUAUACUGUUUUCUACAAAGAUUUUCUUUUGGAUAAAAAAAUUAUUUAAUUUUAGCACUUUUCAUAAAAUUUAUAUCCUUUUUUUAGUAAAAUGCACCAAUCAUCAGUAUUUUUGUAUAAUAUUUUAUGUCAUAUGCCAUGUUAAAACACUCAAUCUUUGGAUCCACAAUUUUUUUUAAAAAUAAUUCCAAAUUCAUUUACAUUCAAUAAUCAUUAAAAAAUUAAAAAAUUAACGAAAUAUAUCACCUCAACAGCUUGUGAACUUCCAUGUAAUAUAAAUCUCAACCCAAAAAUAUCAAAAAAGUACACCGAUUUUUUUUCACAAGAAGAGGCCCAUAUAUUUACAUUGCAUGAGACCAAGAAGGUGCAAUAGGGUCCACAAUGUGUCUAAGAAAGUAUAGUAGGUCCCAAUAUGUGUUAUAUAAAUAUAUAAAUAUAUGCAAUUUUAACAAUUUUAACACAACAUGAGGUACAUGAGGCAAUAGUUACAGAGAGAAUUAUUUCUAAAAUGUGUAGUCUAUUCACCGGGAUAUUCAUGGCUUUUUUGGAAGAUGGAUAGAGUUGAUAAUCGUUUUAUGGUGCAAUCAUUUAGAGUAACAUAUGAUUAGGGGUAUAUAUUGUACUAUUUAAUGAAUACAUCAUUGUCAAAAAAAUUCCAAUCUCUCUUUUUGUUGGCCUAUAUAUGUCCUAAUUCCACAUAAAGCUAUUGGCUAAAUAAUGUGGAUUUUGGGAGCCUACCUUUUCUAAAACAUUACUUCACUUGUAUUAACUAAUUUUCACUUAAUGUCUUAUUUCUCUUUGGAUUUAUUCAUCCAAUGUACACAUAGGUCUUUUAAUUCUUGAAGAUUAAUCUAUAUCAUGGCAUUAUCGACUACAGAUGGCAACAAUAUAUAUACAUGUAUAUAGAAGAGUAAUUAUAGCAAAAACGAAAGAAGCAGCAGCUUUUGUUUCAUUUUUGGUGGACAACAGAAAGGAAAUCCAAAUUCAAACACGGGCAGCAGUUCAGAAUUUUUUUUUUUAUUGAGUAGCUACAUACUCAGACAGGCAGAUUAUGAGGGAAAAGAAAGAGAAAGACUAGCAACAACUAGGAAGCUGUAGCUGAGGUGCCAAAUGCAACAUUUCUUAUUUUGUUGUUUUGUUUUUUGGACAAAGCCUUAUGCAGCAUUUCAAGAUAGGGAAUUAGCCUGACUGUUCUUCCCGAGUAAGGUUUCAUGGUAGAAGAAGCCAUUCACUGACAUGCCCCCAUCGAUGCAAAACGUCUGCCCUGUUAUAUAAGAGGACGCUGGUAGGCACAGGAAUCCCACCAAGGAUGACACUUCCUCUGGCUCUCCAAUGCGUCCCAAUGGAGUUCGAGAGAUAAUAAUCUCUGAAAACUUUUGAAUGUACUGUAAGCAAGGAGAAGGACAACAAUUAUAAAUACUACUACAACACUGAAAACGUUAUACAGUUUGAGGAACAAAAACUUGCAUGCUCUGGUGUAACCUUUCCAACAUUUAUGAAUUCUUGCCAUAGUGGUCCCAGAUUGUAUACUUUUUAACAAUAUGAAAAUCCUAACAAUCAAUAUAUAUACUCAUUUGUUGUGAUUUACACUAUAAUUCUCCUUGGAUAUCCUUUUUGAUUACUCUGAAUGAUAUGAUCAUGCUGAUAAACAUAAAGACUAAAAGCAUGGGGGGAAAAUAUAUAUAUUUUACAUCUUCGGUAAGGGGAGUUUGGAUGAACCAAGGUGCAACAGAGUUGACCCUUAUGUUGUCCUUUGCCCACUCACAUGCCAAGUAUUUUGCAAGGUGGUUCAUGGCUCCUGAAAACAAUGGAAUGACAAUCUAAAUUCUCAAUCUUGAAUGAUAAAAUUACUCAACUAUAUGCUUGCAAUAAAGGUUUCAUUUGCCAGGAAAAUUAUAUAUAUAUACACGCACAUACCUUUUGUUGCUCCAUAUAAAGAUCCAAAACUUACUGAUACCACCCCAGAAACUGAAGAGAGAAAAACAAUGCUUCCUGCCCCUGAAGCUUUCAAAAGAGGAUAUGCAAGUUGGCACAAGUUGUAAGCAGACUCAAAAUUGGUCCCCAUGAUAAAUGAGAAAUCUUCAGCGGUGAAGUCUGGAGUCGGCUUUAAAACGCUUGUCCCCACAUUGUUAAUCUAUAGCCACACAAAUUCGGCAUUAUUGGAACCACAAAUGUCUCAUUAGCAGAACUCAGGAGUGGGGACUCUAUGCAGAAUGAGAGUUACCAGAAAAAGAAAGAAUGAGAAUGGAUGUUUACUCACCAGGAUGUUGAGUUUUCCACCAAAUUCAGAGGAGACAGUGUUUAUUAGCUUCUCUCUUUGGGCCUGAGAUGAUACAUCACAGACUGAACCAGUAACCUGGAAACCCUUUGCGUCCCAGUCAAGUAAGCACUUGUUGAGAUCAGUUUCAUUUCGUGAGCACGUGUGU